UGUCAGGGGUAGGGUUAGGGAUAGGUUUAGGGUUUGUUUUAGUUUUGUUUAAGGUUAGGGUUUGAAUAAAGUUAGGGUAGGUUUAGGGUUAUGGUUAGGUCUGGGCUAAGGAUUAGGGUUAGAGUUAGGGUUAGGGGUGUUUUGGUUAGGUUUAGGGUAGGGUUUUAUUUAGGGUUAGGGUAAGAAUUAGAGUUACGUUUACACUUAAGGUGAAGGUUUUGGGUAUGUGUUAAGGUUAGGGUUAGGGUUAGAGUUAGGAUUAGGGUUUAGGGUUAGGUUUAAUUUUAUGGUAGGGUUAAAGUUAAGGUUAAGGUUAGGUUGGAGUUAGGGUAGGGUUAGGAUUAGGAUUAGGUUUAGGGGGAGGUUUAGGGUCAGAGUUAUCGUAAGGGUUAGGUGUAGGGUGACUGGUGGGCCAAGGUUAAGGUUAGUGUUAGGUUUAGGGGUAGGGUUAGGGUUAAAGUUAGGGUUAGCUUUAGGUUAGGGACAGGGUGAAGUUUAAGAUAGGGUGAGGGUUAGGGUUAUGGCUAAGGUUCGGGUUAGUUUUCGGGUUAGUGUUAAGGUUACGUUUAGGGUUAGGGUUAAGUUUAUGGGUUGUGUUUAGUUUUAGGGUUAGGGUUAGAUUUUAGGUUAGGGUUAAGUUUAGUGUAACAGUUAAGGUUACGGUUUGUGUUAGGCAUUGUGGUUGGGGUGAGGUUUAGGUUUAGGGUUAGGGUUGUGUAUGCUUAGGAUUAUGGUUAUGGUAAGGUGUUAGGGGUUAGAAGUGUAGUUUAGGGUUAGGGGUGGGUGAGGGUUCUGGUAAAGCAUUGUGGUUCUGACCAUGGUUAGGUUUGGUUUAGGGUUACGGUUAGCUUUAUGAUUAGGUUUCAGGUUAGUGUUCGAGUUAGAGUUAACGUUUGGGUUAGGCUUUGGUGUUAGGGGUUAGGGUUUGGGUUAGGGUUAGGGUUAUUGUUAGGGCUCAGGGGUUCAGGUUAGUGUUAGGGUUAGGGUUACGGAUAGCAUUAGGGUUAGGGUUGGGGAUACGGAUAGGGGUUAGGGUGAGGGUUACGGUUAGUUUUACAGUUAUGGUGAGUGUUCAGGGUAAGUGUUAUGGUUAUGGUUAGAGUUAGGGUUAGGGUUCGGGUGAAGUUUCAGUUAAUAGUGAGGGUUACGCUAAAAGUUAGGGUUAAUGUUAGAGUUAGGGUUAAGGUUAGCGUUAGUGGUAGGUUUAGGGUAGGUAAGGUUAGGGUUAAGACUAGGUUUACGGUAAAGGGUUGGGCUGGGUUAGGGUUAGGGUUCGGUUUAGAAUUAUACUUAGUGCUGAGUUUAGGGUUAGGGUUAGGGUCAGGAUUCGAGUUAUUGUUUGGUUUCGGUAUAGGUAGAGUUAAGGUUAGGUUUAAGUUUAGGUUUAGGGGAAGGGUUAGGUUUACGUCAGCGUUAGGUUUAGGAUUAGGGAUCGGGUUAGGGUUUGUGAAAGGGUUAGGGGUUCGUCUGAGGGUAAGUGUUAGGUUUACAGUUAAGCUGAUGUUUUAGGGUGUUAUGGUUAGGGUCAUUGUUAGGUUUAGCGUUCGGGCUAGAGUCAGGUGAUAGUUUAGGGUUAGGUUUAGGUUUAGUUUUAGGGUUAGGCUUAGGCUUAGGUUUAGGGUGAAGUUUAGGUUAAGGAUGAGGGUUAUGUUUAGGGUUAGUGUUAGGGUUAGGUGUUUGGGUUAAGGUUAGGGUCAGUUUAGGGUUCGGUUUAGAGUUCGGGUUAGCGUUAGGGUUCGGGUUAGGUGUUUGGGUUAACGUUAGGGUCAGGUUUAUGUUUGCGUUUAGGGUUAGUGUUGGGUUCGUUUUAGGGUUAGUGUUUGGGUGAAAUUUAAGUGAAGAGUGAGGGUUGAGCUUAGGGUUAGGGGUUAGGGUUAGGGUUAAGGUUCGUUUUAGGUUUAGGUUUAAGAUUAGGUUUAGGGUAAGUGUUAGGGUUAAAUCAUGGUUAGGCUAGGGCAUGGUUAAGGUUAGAGAUAGGGUGAGGUUAAGGGUUGGGGUUAGGUUUAGAUGUUAGGGUGAGGGUUAGUGCUAGGUUUCCAUUUAAGUUGAGUUUGUAGGGUAAGUUUUAGGGUUGGAUUAGGGUUAGAGUUAGAGUUAGGGUCAGGGUUAGGGUUAAGGUUCGGGUUAGGGUUAGGUUUAUGGUUAGGAUUUGGGUUACGGUCAGGGUUAGGGGGAGAUUUAGUGUUAUGUUUAGUUUCAGGGUCAGGGUUAGGGUGCAGUUUAGGUUAAGGAUGAGGGUUAGGGUUAGGUUUAGUGUUAGGGUUAGGUGUUUGGGUUAAGGUUAGGGUCAGGUUAGGGUUAGGGUUAGGGUUAGGCUUACUGUUUGUUAGGGUUAGGGUUAGGUGUUUGGGUUAAUGUUAGAGUCAGGUUUAGGGUUAGGUUUAGAGUUAGGAUUAGGAUUCGGUUUAAAGUUAGAGUUCGGGAUAGGGUGAAGUUUAAUUUAAGGGUGAGGGUUGAGCUUAGGGUUUGGGGUAGGGGUUAGGGUUCAGGUUAGGAUUAGGUUUAAGGUAAAGGUUAGGUUUAGGGUCAGGUUUAGGGUAAGUGUUAGGAUUAAGUCAUGUUUAGGUGUAGGGCUAGGAUAAGGUUAGAGAUAGGGUUAGGUUAAGGGUCGGGUUUAGGUUUAGAUGUUAGGGUGUGGGUUAGUGGUAGGUUUCCAUUUAAGCUGAGUGUGUAGGGUAAUUUUUAUGGUUAGGAUUAAGGUUAGAGUUAGGGUCAGGGUCAGGGUUAGGGUUAAGUUUAGGGUUAGUUUUAUGGUUAGGAUUGGGUUAGGUUCAUGGUUGGGGGAGAUUUAGUGUUAUGUUUAGUUUUAGGAUAGGGUUAGGGUGAAGUUGAUGUUAAGCGUGCGGGUUAGGGUUAGGGCUAGGGGUUAUUGUUCAGAUUAGUGUCAGGGGUAGGGUUAGGGAUAGGUUUAGGGUUUGUUUUAGUUUUGUUUAAGGUUAGGGUUUGAAUAAAGUUAGGGUAGGUUUAGGGUUAUGGUUAGGUCUGGGCUAAGGAUUAGGGUUAGAGUUAGGGUUAGGGGUGUUUUGGUUAGGUUUAGGGUAGGGUUUUAUUUAGGGUUAGGGUAAGAAUUAGAGUUACGUUUACACUUAAGGUGAAGGUUUUGGGUAUGUGUUAAGGUUAGGGUUAGGGUUAGAGUUAGGAUUAGGGUUUAGGGUUAGGUUUAAUUUUAUGGUAGGGUUAAAGUUAAGGUUAAGGUUAGGUUGGAGUUAGGGUAGGGUUAGGAUUAGGAUUAGGUUUAGGGGGAGGUUUAGGGUCAGAGUUAUCGUAAGGGUUAGGUGUAGGGUGACUGGUGGGCCAAGGUUAAGGUUAGUGUUAGGUUUAGGGGUAGGGUUAGGGUUAAAGUUAGGGUUAGCUUUAGGUUAGGGACAGGGUGAAGUUUAAGAUAGGGUGAGGGUUAGGGUUAUGGCUAAGGUUCGGGUUAGUUUUCGGGUUAGUGUUAAGGUUACGUUUAGGGUUAGGGUUAAGUUUAUGGGUUGUGUUUAGUUUUAGGGUUAGGGUUAGAUUUUAGGUUAGGGUUAAGUUUAGUGUAACAGUUAAGGUUACGGUUUGUGUUAGGCAUUGUGGUUGGGGUGAGGUUUAGGUUUAGGGUUAGGGUUGUGUAUGCUUAGGAUUAUGGUUAUGGUAAGGUGUUAGGGGUUAGAAGUGUAGUUUAGGGUUAGGGGUGGGUGAGGGUUCUGGUAAAGCAUUGUGGUUCUGACCAUGGUUAGGUUUGGUUUAGGGUUACGGUUAGCUUUAUGAUUAGGUUUCAGGUUAGUGUUCGAGUUAGAGUUAACGUUUGGGUUAGGCUUUGGUGUUAGGGGUUAGGGUUUGGGUUAGGGUUAGGGUUAUUGUUAGGGCUCAGGGGUUCAGGUUAGUGUUAGGGUUAGGGUUACGGAUAGCAUUAGGGUUAGGGUUGGGGAUACGGAUAGGGGUUAGGGUGAGGGUUACGGUUAGUUUUACAGUUAUGGUGAGUGUUCAGGGUAAGUGUUAUGGUUAUGGUUAGAGUUAGGGUUAGGGUUCGGGUGAAGUUUCAGUUAAUAGUGAGGGUUACGCUAAAAGUUAGGGUUAAUGUUAGAGUUAGGGUUAAGGUUAGCGUUAGUGUUAGGUUUAGGGUAGGUAAGGUUAGGGUUAAGACUAGGUUUACGGUAAAGGGUUGGGCUGGGUUAGGGUUAGGGUUCGGUUUAGAAUUAUACUUAGUGCUGAGUUUAGGGUUAGGGUUAGGGUCAGGAUUCGAGUUAUUGUUUGGUUUCGGUAUAGGUAGAGUUAAGGUUAGGUUUAAGUUUAGGUUUAGGGGAAGGGUUAGGUUUACGUCAGCGUUAGGUUUAGGAUUAGGGAUCGGGUUAGGGUUUGUGAAAGGGUUAGGGGUUCGUCUGAGGGUAAGUGUUAGGUUUACAGUUAAGCUGAUGUUUUAGGGUGUUAUGGUUAGGGUCAUUGUUAGGUUUAGCGUUCGGGCUAGAGUCAGGUGAUAGUUUAGGGUUAGGUUUAGGUUUAGUUUUAGGGUUAGGCUUAGGCUUAGGUUUAGGGUGAAGUUUAGGUUAAGGAUGAGGGUUAUGUUUAGGGUUAGUGUUAGGGUUAGGUGUUUGGGUUAAGGUUAGGGUCAGUUUAGGGUUCGGUUUAGAGUUCGGGUUAGCGUUAGGGUUCGGGUUAGGUGUUUGGGUUAACGUUAGGGUCAGGUUUAUGUUUGCGUUUAGGGUUAGUGUUGGGUUCGUUUUAGGGUUAGUGUUUGGGUGAAAUUUAAGUGAAGAGUGAGGGUUGAGCUUAGGGUUAGGGGUUAGGGUUAGGGUUAAGGUUCGUUUUAGGUUUAGGUUUAAGAUUAGGUUUAGGGUAAGUGUUAGGGUUAAAUCAUGGUUAGGCUAGGGCAUGGUUAAGGUUAGAGAUAGGGUGAGGUUAAGGGUUGGGGUUAGGUUUAGAUGUUAGGGUGAGGGUUAGUGCUAGGUUUCCAUUUAAGUUGAGUUUGUAGGGUAAGUUUUAGGGUUGGAUUAGGGUUAGAGUUAGAGUUAGGGUCAGGGUUAGGGUUAAGGUUCGGGUUAGGGUUAGGUUUAUGGUUAGGAUUUGGGUUACGGUCAGGGUUAGGGGGAGAUUUAGUGUUAUGUUUAGUUUCAGGGUCAGGGUUAGGGUGCAGUUUAGGUUAAGGAUGAGGGUUAGGGUUAGGUUUAGUGUUAGGGUUAGGUGUUUGGGUUAAGGUUAGGGUCAGGUUAGGGUUAGGGUUAGGGUUAGGCUUACUGUUUGUUAGGGUUAGAGUUAGGUGUUUGGGUUAAUGUUAGAGUCAGGUUUAGGGUUAGGUUUAGAGUUAGGAUUAGGAUUCGGUUUAAAGUUAGAGUUCGGGAUAGGGUGAAGUUUAAUUUAAGGGUGAGGGUUGAGCUUAGGGUUUGGGGUAGGGGUUAGGGUUCAGGUUAGGAUUAGGUUUAAGGUAAAGGUUAGGUUUAGGGUCAGGUUUAGGGUAAGUGUUAGGAUUAAGUCAUGUUUAGGUGUAGGGCUAGGAUAAGGUUAGAGAUAGGGUUAGGUUAAGGGUCGGGUUUAGGUUUAGAUGUUAGGGUGUGGGUUAGUGGUAGGUUUCCAUUUAAGCUGAGUGUGUAGGGUAAUUUUUAUGGUUAGGAUUAAGGUUAGAGUUAGGGUCAGGGUCAGGGUUAGGGUUAAGUUUAGGGUUAGUUUUAUGGUUAGGAUUGGGUUAGGUUCAUGGUUGGGGGAGAUUUAGAGUUAUGUUUAGUUUUAGGAUAGGGUUAGGGUGAAGUUGAUGUUAAGCGUGCGGGUUAGGGUUAGGGCUAGGGGUUAUUGUUCAGAUUAGUGUCAGGGGUAGGGUUAGGGAUAGGUUUAGGGUUUGUUUUAGUUUUGUUUAAGGUUAGGGUUUGAAUAAAGUUAGGGUAGGUUUAGGGUUAUGGUUAGGUCUGGGCUAAGGAUUAGGGUUAGAGUUAGGGUUAGGGGUGUUUUGGUUAGGUUUAGGGUAGGGUUUUAUUUAGGGUUAGGGUAAGAAUUAGAGUUACGUUUACACUUAAGGUGAAGGUUUUGGGUAUGUGUUAAGGUUAGGGUUAGGGUUAGAGUUAGGAUUAGGGUUUAGGGUUAGGUUUAAUUUUAUGGUAGGGUUAAAGUUAAGGUUAAGGUUAGGUUGGAGUUAGGGUAGGGUUAGGAUUAGGAUUAGGUUUAGGGUGAGGUUUAGGGUCAGAGUUAUCGUAAGGGUUAGGUGUAGGGUGACUGGUGGGCCAAGGUUAAGGUUAGUGUUAGGUUUAGGGGUAGGGUUAGGGUUAAAGUUAGGGUUAGCUUUAGGUUAGGGACAGGGUGAAGUUUAAGAUAGGGUGAGGGUUAGGGUUAUGGCUAAGGUUCGGGUUAGUUUUCGGGUUAGUGUUAAGGUUACGUUUAGGGUUAGGGUUAAGUUUAUGGGUUGUGUUUAGUUUUAGGGUUAGGGUUAGAUUUUAGGUUAGGGUUAAGUUUAGUGUAACAGUUAAGGUUACGGUUUGUGUUAGGCAUUGUGGUUGGGGUGAGGUUUAGGUUUAGGGUUAGGGUUGUGUAUGCUUAGGAUUAUGGUUAUGGUAAGGUGUUAGGGGUUAGAAGUGUAGUUUAGGGUUAGGGGUGGGUGAGGGUUCUGGUAAAGCAUUGUGGUUCUGACCAUGGUUAGGUUUGGUUUAGGGUUACGGUUAGCUUUAUGAUUAGGUUUCAGGUUAGUGUUCGAGUUAGAGUUAACGUUUGGGUUAGGCUUUGGUGUUAGGGGUUAGGGUUUGGGUUAGGGUUAGGGUUAUUGUUAGGGCUCAGGGGUUCAGGUUAGUGUUAGGGUUAGGGUUACGGAUAGCAUUAGGGUUAGGGUUGGGGAUACGGAUAGGGGUUAGGGUGAGGGUUACGGUUAGUUUUACAGUUAUGGUGAGUGUUCAGGGUAAGUGUUAUGGUUAUGGUUAGAGUUAGGGUUAGGGUUCGGGUGAAGUUUCAGUUAAUAGUGAGGGUUACGCUAAAAGUUAGGGUUAAUGUUAGAGUUAGGGUUAAGGUUAGCGUUAGUGGUAGGUUUAGGGUAGGUAAGGUUAGGGUUAAGACUAGGUUUACGGUAAAGGGUUGGGCUGGGUUAGGGUUAGGGUUCGGUUUAGAAUUAUACUUAGUGCUGAGUUUAGGGUUAGGGUUAGGGUCAGGAUUCGAGUUAUUGUUUGGUUUCGGUAUAGGUAGAGUUAAGGUUAGGUUUAAGUUUAGGUUUAGGGGAAGGGUUAGGUUUACGUCAGCGUUAGGUUUAGGAUUAGGGAUCGGGUUAGGGUUUGUGAAAGGGUUAGGGGUUCGUCUGAGGGUAAGUGUUAGGUUUACAGUUAAGCUGAUGUUUUAGGGUGUUAUGGUUAGGGUCAUUGUUAGGUUUAGCGUUCGGGCUAGAGUCAGGUGAUAGUUUAGGGUUAGGUUUAGGUUUAGUUUUAGGGUUAGGCUUAGGCUUAGGUUUAGGGUGAAGUUUAGGUUAAGGAUGAGGGUUAUGUUUAGGGUUAGUGUUAGGGUUAGGUGUUUGGGUUAAGGUUAGGGUCAGUUUAGGGUUCGGUUUAGAGUUCGGGUUAGCGUUAGGGUUCGGGUUAGGUGUUUGGGUUAACGUUAGGGUCAGGUUUAUGUUUGCGUUUAGGGUUAGUGUUGGGUUCGUUUUAGGGUUAGUGUUUGGGUGAAAUUUAAGUGAAGAGUGAGGGUUGAGCUUAGGGUUAGGGGUUAGGGUUAGGGUUAAGGUUCGUUUUAGGUUUAGGUUUAAGAUUAGGUUUAGGGUAAGUGUUAGGGUUAAAUCAUGGUUAGGCUAGGGCAUGGUUAAGGUUAGAGAUAGGGUGAGGUUAAGGGUUGGGGUUAGGUUUAGAUGUUAGGGUGAGGGUUAGUGCUAGGUUUCCAUUUAAGUUGAGUUUGUAGGGUAAGUUUUAGGGUUGGAUUAGGGUUAGAGUUAGAGUUAGGGUCAGGGUUAGGGUUAAGGUUCGGGUUAGGGUUAGGUUUAUGGUUAGGAUUUGGGUUACGGUCAGGGUUAGGGGGAGAUUUAGUGUUAUGUUUAGUUUCAGGGUCAGGGUUAGGGUGCAGUUUAGGUUAAGGAUGAGGGUUAGGGUUAGGUUUAGUGUUAGGGUUAGGUGUUUGGGUUAAGGUUAGGGUCAGGUUAGGGUUAGGGUUAGGGUUAGGCUUACUGUUUGUUAGGGUUAGGGUUAGGUGUUUGGGUUAAUGUUAGAGUCAGGUUUAGGGUUAGGUUUAGAGUUAGGAUUAGGAUUCGGUUUAAAGUUAGAGUUCGGGAUAGGGUGAAGUUUAAUUUAAGGGUGAGGGUUGAGCUUAGGGUUUGGGGUAGGGGUUAGGGUUCAGGUUAGGAUUAGGUUUAAGGUAAAGGUUAGGUUUAGGGUCAGGUUUAGGGUAAGUGUUAGGAUUAAGUCAUGUUUAGGUGUAGGGCUAGGAUAAGGUUAGAGAUAGGGUUAGGUUAAGGGUCGGGUUUAGGUUUAGAUGUUAGGGUGUGGGUUAGUGGUAGGUUUCCAUUUAAGCUGAGUGUGUAGGGUAAUUUUUAUGGUUAGGAUUAAGGUUAGAGUUAGGGUCAGGGUCAGGGUUAGGGUUAAGUUUAGGGUUAGUUUUAUGGUUAGGAUUGGGUUAGGUUCAUGGUUGGGGGAGAUUUAGAGUUAUGUUUAGUUUUAGGAUAGGGUUAGGGUGAAGUUGAUGUUAAGCGUGCGGGUUAGGGUUAGGGCUAGGGGUUAUUGUUCAGAUUAGUGUCAGGGGUAGGGUUAGGGAUAGGUUUAGGGUUUGUUUUAGUUUUGUUUAAGGUUAGGGUUUGAAUAAAGUUAGGGUAGGUUUAGGGUUAUGGUUAGGUCUGGGCUAAGGAUUAGGGUUAGAGUUAGGGUUAGGGGUGUUUUGGUUAGGUUUAGGGUAGGGUUUUAUUUAGGGUUAGGGUAAGAAUUAGAGUUACGUUUACACUUAAGGUGAAGGUUUUGGGUAUGUGUUAAGGUUAGGGUUAGGGUUAGAGUUAGGAUUAGGGUUUAGGGUUAGGUUUAAUUUUAUGGUAGGGUUAAAGUUAAGGUUAAGGUUAGGUUGGAGUUAGGGUAGGGUUAGGAUUAGGAUUAGGUUUAGGGGGAGGUUUAGGGUCAGAGUUAUCGUAAGGGUUAGGUGUAGGGUGACUGGUGGGCCAAGGUUAAGGUUAGUGUUAGGUUUAGGGGUAGGGUUAGGGUUAAAGUUAGGGUUAGCUUUAGGUUAGGGACAGGGUGAAGUUUAAGAUAGGGUGAGGGUUAGGGUUAUGGCUAAGGUUCGGGUUAGUUUUCGGGUUAGUGUUAAGGUUACGUUUAGGGUUAGGGUUAAGUUUAUGGGUUGUGUUUAGUUUUAGGGUUAGGGUUAGAUUUUAGGUUAGGGUUAAGUUUAGUGUAACAGUUAAGGUUACGGUUUGUGUUAGGCAUUGUGGUUGGGGUGAGGUUUAGGUUUAGGGUUAGGGUUGUGUAUGCUUAGGAUUAUGGUUAUGGUAAGGUGUUAGGGGUUAGAAGUGUAGUUUAGGGUUAGGGGUGGGUGAGGGUUCUGGUAAAGCAUUGUGGUUCUGACCAUGGUUAGGUUUGGUUUAGGGUUACGGUUAGCUUUAUGAUUAGGUUUCAGGUUAGUGUUCGAGUUAGAGUUAACGUUUGGGUUAGGCUUUGGUGUUAGGGGUUAGGGUUUGGGUUAGGGUUAGGGUUAUUGUUAGGGCUCAGGGGUUCAGGUUAGUGUUAGGGUUAGGGUUACGGAUAGCAUUAGGGUUAGGGUUGGGGAUACGGAUAGGGGUUAGGGUGAGGGUUACGGUUAGUUUUACAGUUAUGGUGAGUGUUCAGGGUAAGUGUUAUGGUUAUGGUUAGAGUUAGGGUUAGGGUUCGGGUGAAGUUUCAGUUAAUAGUGAGGGUUACGCUAAAAGUUAGGGUUAAUGUUAGAGUUAGGGUUAAGGUUAGCGUUAGUGUUAGGUUUAGGGUAGGUAAGGUUAGGGUUAAGACUAGGUUUACGGUAAAGGGUUGGGCUGGGUUAGGGUUAGGGUUCGGUUUAGAAUUAUACUUAGUGCUGAGUUUAGGGUUAGGGUUAGGGUCAGGAUUCGAGUUAUUGUUUGGUUUCGGUAUAGGUAGAGUUAAGGUUAGGUUUAAGUUUAGGUUUAGGGGAAGGGUUAGGUUUACGUCAGCGUUAGGUUUAGGAUUAGGGAUCGGGUUAGGGUUUGUGAAAGGGUUAGGGGUUCGUCUGAGGGUAAGUGUUAGGUUUACAGUUAAGCUGAUGUUUUAGGGUGUUAUGGUUAGGGUCAUUGUUAGGUUUAGCGUUCGGGCUAGAGUCAGGUGAUAGUUUAGGGUUAGGUUUAGGUUUAGUUUUAGGGUUAGGCUUAGGCUUAGGUUUAGGGUGAAGUUUAGGUUAAGGAUGAGGGUUAUGUUUAGGGUUAGUGUUAGGGUUAGGUGUUUGGGUUAAGGUUAGGGUCAGUUUAGGGUUCGGUUUAGAGUUCGGGUUAGCGUUAGGGUUCGGGUUAGGUGUUUGGGUUAACGUUAGGGUCAGGUUUAUGUUUGCGUUUAGGGUUAGUGUUGGGUUCGUUUUAGGGUUAGUGUUUGGGUGAAAUUUAAGUGAAGAGUGAGGGUUGAGCUUAGGGUUAGGGGUUAGGGUUAGGGUUAAGGUUCGUUUUAGGUUUAGGUUUAAGAUUAGGUUUAGGGUAAGUGUUAGGGUUAAAUCAUGGUUAGGCUAGGGCAUGGUUAAGGUUAGAGAUAGGGUGAGGUUAAGGGUUGGGGUUAGGUUUAGAUGUUAGGGUGAGGGUUAGUGCUAGGUUUCCAUUUAAGUUGAGUUUGUAGGGUAAGUUUUAGGGUUGGAUUAGGGUUAGAGUUAGAGUUAGGGUCAGGGUUAGGGUUAAGGUUCGGGUUAGGGUUAGGUUUAUGGUUAGGAUUUGGGUUACGGUCAGGGUUAGGGGGAGAUUUAGUGUUAUGUUUAGUUUCAGGGUCAGGGUUAGGGUGCAGUUUAGGUUAAGGAUGAGGGUUAGGGUUAGGUUUAGUGUUAGGGUUAGGUGUUUGGGUUAAGGUUAGGGUCAGGUUAGGGUUAGGGUUAGGGUUAGGCUUACUGUUUGUUAGGGUUAGAGUUAGGUGUUUGGGUUAAUGUUAGAGUCAGGUUUAGGGUUAGGUUUAGAGUUAGGAUUAGGAUUCGGUUUAAAGUUAGAGUUCGGGAUAGGGUGAAGUUUAAUUUAAGGGUGAGGGUUGAGCUUAGGGUUUGGGGUAGGGGUUAGGGUUCAGGUUAGGAUUAGGUUUAAGGUAAAGGUUAGGUUUAGGGUCAGGUUUAGGGUAAGUGUUAGGAUUAAGUCAUGUUUAGGUGUAGGGCUAGGAUAAGGUUAGAGAUAGGGUUAGGUUAAGGGUCGGGUUUAGGUUUAGAUGUUAGGGUGUGGGUUAGUGGUAGGUUUCCAUUUAAGCUGAGUGUGUAGGGUAAUUUUUAUGGUUAGGAUUAAGGUUAGAGUUAGGGUCAGGGUCAGGGUUAGGGUUAAGUUUAGGGUUAGUUUUAUGGUUAGGAUUGGGUUAGGUUCAUGGUUGGGGGAGAUUUAGAGUUAUGUUUAGUUUUAGGAUAGGGUUAGGGUGAAGUUGAUGUUAAGCGUGCGGGUUAGGGUUAGGGCUAGGGGUUAUUGUUCAGAUUAGUGUCAGGGGUAGGGUUAGGGAUAGGUUUAGGGUUUGUUUUAGUUUUGUUUAAGGUUAGGGUUUGAAUAAAGUUAGGGUAGGUUUAGGGUUAUGGUUAGGUCUGGGCUAAGGAUUAGGGUUAGAGUUAGGGUUAGGGGUGUUUUGGUUAGGUUUAGGGUAGGGUUUUAUUUAGGGUUAGGGUAAGAAUUAGAGUUACGUUUACACUUAAGGUGAAGGUUUUGGGUAUGUGUUAAGGUUAGGGUUAGGGUUAGAGUUAGGAUUAGGGUUUAGGGUUAGGUUUAAUUUUAUGGUAGGGUUAAAGUUAAGGUUAAGGUUAGGUUGGAGUUAGGGUAGGGUUAGGAUUAGGAUUAGGUUUAGGGUGAGGUUUAGGGUCAGAGUUAUCGUAAGGGUUAGGUGUAGGGUGACUGGUGGGCCAAGGUUAAGGUUAGUGUUAGGUUUAGGGGUAGGGUUAGGGUUAAAGUUAGGGUUAGCUUUAGGUUAGGGACAGGGUGAAGUUUAAGAUAGGGUGAGGGUUAGGGUUAUGGCUAAGGUUCGGGUUAGUUUUCGGGUUAGUGUUAAGGUUACGUUUAGGGUUAGGGUUAAGUUUAUGGGUUGUGUUUAGUUUUAGGGUUAGGGUUAGAUUUUAGGUUAGGGUUAAGUUUAGUGUAACAGUUAAGGUUACGGUUUGUGUUAGGCAUUGUGGUUGGGGUGAGGUUUAGGUUUAGGGUUAGGGUUGUGUAUGCUUAGGAUUAUGGUUAUGGUAAGGUGUUAGGGGUUAGAAGUGUAGUUUAGGGUUAGGGGUGGGUGAGGGUUCUGGUAAAGCAUUGUGGUUCUGACCAUGGUUAGGUUUGGUUUAGGGUUACGGUUAGCUUUAUGAUUAGGUUUCAGGUUAGUGUUCGAGUUAGAGUUAACGUUUGGGUUAGGCUUUGGUGUUAGGGGUUAGGGUUUGGGUUAGGGUUAGGGUUAUUGUUAGGGCUCAGGGGUUCAGGUUAGUGUUAGGGUUAGGGUUACGGAUAGCAUUAGGGUUAGGGUUGGGGAUACGGAUAGGGGUUAGGGUGAGGGUUACGGUUAGUUUUACAGUUAUGGUGAGUGUUCAGGGUAAGUGUUAUGGUUAUGGUUAGAGUUAGGGUUAGGGUUCGGGUGAAGUUUCAGUUAAUAGUGAGGGUUACGCUAAAAGUUAGGGUUAAUGUUAGAGUUAGGGUUAAGGUUAGCGUUAGUGGUAGGUUUAGGGUAGGUAAGGUUAGGGUUAAGACUAGGUUUACGGUAAAGGGUUGGGCUGGGUUAGGGUUAGGGUUCGGUUUAGAAUUAUACUUAGUGCUGAGUUUAGGGUUAGGGUUAGGGUCAGGAUUCGAGUUAUUGUUUGGUUUCGGUAUAGGUAGAGUUAAGGUUAGGUUUAAGUUUAGGUUUAGGGGAAGGGUUAGGUUUACGUCAGCGUUAGGUUUAGGAUUAGGGAUCGGGUUAGGGUUUGUGAAAGGGUUAGGGGUUCGUCUGAGGGUAAGUGUUAGGUUUACAGUUAAGCUGAUGUUUUAGGGUGUUAUGGUUAGGGUCAUUGUUAGGUUUAGCGUUCGGGCUAGAGUCAGGUGAUAGUUUAGGGUUAGGUUUAGGUUUAGUUUUAGGGUUAGGCUUAGGCUUAGGUUUAGGGUGAAGUUUAGGUUAAGGAUGAGGGUUAUGUUUAGGGUUAGUGUUAGGGUUAGGUGUUUGGGUUAAGGUUAGGGUCAGUUUAGGGUUCGGUUUAGAGUUCGGGUUAGCGUUAGGGUUCGGGUUAGGUGUUUGGGUUAACGUUAGGGUCAGGUUUAUGUUUGCGUUUAGGGUUAGUGUUGGGUUCGUUUUAGGGUUAGUGUUUGGGUGAAAUUUAAGUGAAGAGUGAGGGUUGAGCUUAGGGUUAGGGGUUAGGGUUAGGGUUAAGGUUCGUUUUAGGUUUAGGUUUAAGAUUAGGUUUAGGGUAAGUGUUAGGGUUAAAUCAUGGUUAGGCUAGGGCAUGGUUAAGGUUAGAGAUAGGGUGAGGUUAAGGGUUGGGGUUAGGUUUAGAUGUUAGGGUGAGGGUUAGUGCUAGGUUUCCAUUUAAGUUGAGUUUGUAGGGUAAGUUUUAGGGUUGGAUUAGGGUUAGAGUUAGAGUUAGGGUCAGGGUUAGGGUUAAGGUUCGGGUUAGGGUUAGGUUUAUGGUUAGGAUUUGGGUUACGGUCAGGGUUAGGGGGAGAUUUAGUGUUAUGUUUAGUUUCAGGGUCAGGGUUAGGGUGCAGUUUAGGUUAAGGAUGAGGGUUAGGGUUAGGUUUAGUGUUAGGGUUAGGUGUUUGGGUUAAGGUUAGGGUCAGGUUAGGGUUAGGGUUAGGGUUAGGCUUACUGUUUGUUAGGGUUAGGGUUAGGUGUUUGGGUUAAUGUUAGAGUCAGGUUUAGGGUUAGGUUUAGAGUUAGGAUUAGGAUUCGGUUUAAAGUUAGAGUUCGGGAUAGGGUGAAGUUUAAUUUAAGGGUGAGGGUUGAGCUUAGGGUUUGGGGUAGGGGUUAGGGUUCAGGUUAGGAUUAGGUUUAAGGUAAAGGUUAGGUUUAGGGUCAGGUUUAGGGUAAGUGUUAGGAUUAAGUCAUGUUUAGGUGUAGGGCUAGGAUAAGGUUAGAGAUAGGGUUAGGUUAAGGGUCGGGUUUAGGUUUAGAUGUUAGGGUGUGGGUUAGUGGUAGGUUUCCAUUUAAGCUGAGUGUGUAGGGUAAUUUUUAUGGUUAGGAUUAAGGUUAGAGUUAGGGUCAGGGUCAGGGUUAGGGUUAAGUUUAGGGUUAGUUUUAUGGUUAGGAUUGGGUUAGGUUCAUGGUUGGGGGAGAUUUAGAGUUAUGUUUAGUUUUAGGAUAGGGUUAGGGUGAAGUUGAUGUUAAGCGUGCGGGUUAGGGUUAGGGCUAGGGGUUAUUGUUCAGAUUAGUGUCAGGGGUAGGGUUAGGGAUAGGUUUAGGGUUUGUUUUAGUUUUGUUUAAGGUUAGGGUUUGAAUAAAGUUAGGGUAGGUUUAGGGUUAUGGUUAGGUCUGGGCUAAGGAUUAGGGUUAGAGUUAGGGUUAGGGGUGUUUUGGUUAGGUUUAGGGUAGGGUUUUAUUUAGGGUUAGGGUAAGAAUUAGAGUUACGUUUACACUUAAGGUGAAGGUUUUGGGUAUGUGUUAAGGUUAGGGUUAGGGUUAGAGUUAGGAUUAGGGUUUAGGGUUAGGUUUAAUUUUAUGGUAGGGUUAAAGUUAAGGUUAAGGUUAGGUUGGAGUUAGGGUAGGGUUAGGAUUAGGAUUAGGUUUAGGGUGAGGUUUAGGGUCAGAGUUAUCGUAAGGGUUAGGUGUAGGGUGACUGGUGGGCCAAGGUUAAGGUUAGUGUUAGGUUUAGGGGUAGGGUUAGGGUUAAAGUUAGGGUUAGCUUUAGGUUAGGGACAGGGUGAAGUUUAAGAUAGGGUGAGGGUUAGGGUUAUGGCUAAGGUUCGGGUUAGUUUUCGGGUUAGUGUUAAGGUUACGUUUAGGGUUAGGGUUAAGUUUAUGGGUUGUGUUUAGUUUUAGGGUUAGGGUUAGAUUUUAGGUUAGGGUUAAGUUUAGUGUAACAGUUAAGGUUACGGUUUGUGUUAGGCAUUGUGGUUGGGGUGAGGUUUAGGUUUAGGGUUAGGGUUGUGUAUGCUUAGGAUUAUGGUUAUGGUAAGGUGUUAGGGGUUAGAAGUGUAGUUUAGGGUUAGGGGUGGGUGAGGGUUCUGGUAAAGCAUUGUGGUUCUGACCAUGGUUAGGUUUGGUUUAGGGUUACGGUUAGCUUUAUGAUUAGGUUUCAGGUUAGUGUUCGAGUUAGAGUUAACGUUUGGGUUAGGCUUUGGUGUUAGGGGUUAGGGUUUGGGUUAGGGUUAGGGUUAUUGUUAGGGCUCAGGGGUUCAGGUUAGUGUUAGGGUUAGGGUUACGGAUAGCAUUAGGGUUAGGGUUGGGGAUACGGAUAGGGGUUAGGGUGAGGGUUACGGUUAGUUUUACAGUUAUGGUGAGUGUUCAGGGUAAGUGUUAUGGUUAUGGUUAGAGUUAGGGUUAGGGUUCGGGUGAAGUUUCAGUUAAUAGUGAGGGUUACGCUAAAAGUUAGGGUUAAUGUUAGAGUUAGGGUUAAGGUUAGCGUUAGUGUUAGGUUUAGGGUAGGUAAGGUUAGGGUUAAGACUAGGUUUACGGUAAAGGGUUGGGCUGGGUUAGGGUUAGGGUUCGGUUUAGAAUUAUACUUAGUGCUGAGUUUAGGGUUAGGGUUAGGGUCAGGAUUCGAGUUAUUGUUUGGUUUCGGUAUAGGUAGAGUUAAGGUUAGGUUUAAGUUUAGGUUUAGGGGAAGGGUUAGGUUUACGUCAGCGUUAGGUUUAGGAUUAGGGAUCGGGUUAGGGUUUGUGAAAGGGUUAGGGGUUCGUCUGAGGGUAAGUGUUAGGUUUACAGUUAAGCUGAUGUUUUAGGGUGUUAUGGUUAGGGUCAUUGUUAGGUUUAGCGUUCGGGCUAGAGUCAGGUGAUAGUUUAGGGUUAGGUUUAGGUUUAGUUUUAGGGUUAGGCUUAGGCUUAGGUUUAGGGUGAAGUUUAGGUUAAGGAUGAGGGUUAUGUUUAGGGUUAGUGUUAGGGUUAGGUGUUUGGGUUAAGGUUAGGGUCAGUUUAGGGUUCGGUUUAGAGUUCGGGUUAGCGUUAGGGUUCGGGUUAGGUGUUUGGGUUAACGUUAGGGUCAGGUUUAUGUUUGCGUUUAGGGUUAGUGUUGGGUUCGUUUUAGGGUUAGUGUUUGGGUGAAAUUUAAGUGAAGAGUGAGGGUUGAGCUUAGGGUUAGGGGUUAGGGUUAGGGUUAAGGUUCGUUUUAGGUUUAGGUUUAAGAUUAGGUUUAGGGUAAGUGUUAGGGUUAAAUCAUGGUUAGGCUAGGGCAUGGUUAAGGUUAGAGAUAGGGUGAGGUUAAGGGUUGGGGUUAGGUUUAGAUGUUAGGGUGAGGGUUAGUGCUAGGUUUCCAUUUAAGUUGAGUUUGUAGGGUAAGUUUUAGGGUUGGAUUAGGGUUAGAGUUAGAGUUAGGGUCAGGGUUAGGGUUAAGGUUCGGGUUAGGGUUAGGUUUAUGGUUAGGAUUUGGGUUACGGUCAGGGUUAGGGGGAGAUUUAGUGUUAUGUUUAGUUUCAGGGUCAGGGUUAGGGUGCAGUUUAGGUUAAGGAUGAGGGUUAGGGUUAGGUUUAGUGUUAGGGUUAGGUGUUUGGGUUAAGGUUAGGGUCAGGUUAGGGUUAGGGUUAGGGUUAGGCUUACUGUUUGUUAGGGUUAGGGUUAGGUGUUUGGGUUAAUGUUAGAGUCAGGUUUAGGGUUAGGUUUAGAGUUAGGAUUAGGAUUCGGUUUAAAGUUAGAGUUCGGGAUAGGGUGAAGUUUAAUUUAAGGGUGAGGGUUGAGCUUAGGGUUUGGGGUAGGGGUUAGGGUUCAGGUUAGGAUUAGGUUUAAGGUAAAGGUUAGGUUUAGGGUCAGGUUUAGGGUAAGUGUUAGGAUUAAGUCAUGUUUAGGUGUAGGGCUAGGAUAAGGUUAGAGAUAGGGUUAGGUUAAGGGUUGGGUUUAGGUUUAGAUGUUAGGGUGUGGGUUAGUGGUAGGUUUCCAUUUAAGCUGAGUGUGUAGGGUAAUUUUUAUGGUUAGGAUUAAGGUUAGAGUUAGGGUCAGGGUCAGGGUUAGGGUUAAGUUUAGGGUUAGUUUUAUGGUUAGGAUUGGGUUAGGUUCAUGGUUGGGGGAGAUUUAGUGUUAUGUUUAGUUUUAGGAUAGGGUUAGGGUGAAGUUGAUGAUAAGCGUGCGGGUUAGGGUUAGGGCUAGGGGUUAUUGUUCAGAUUAGUGUCAGGGGUAGGGUUAGGGAUAGGUUUAGGGUUUGUUUUAGUUUUGUUUAAGGUUAGGGUUUGAAUAAAGUUAGGGUAGGUUUAGGGUUAUGGUUAGGUCUGGGCUAAGGAUUAGGGUUAGAGUUAGGGUUAGGGGUGUUUUGGUUAGGUUUAGGGUAGGGUUUUAUUUAGGGUUAGGGUAAGAAUUAGAGUUACGUUUACACUUAAGGUGAAGGUUUUGGGUAUGUGUUACGGUUAGGGUUAGGGUUAGAGUUAGGAUUAGGGUUUAGGGUUAGGUUUAAUUUUAUGGUAGGGUUAAAGUUAAGGUUAAGGUUAGGUUGGAGUUAGGGUAGGGUUAGGAUUAGGAUUAGGUUUAGGGGGAGGUUUAGGGUCAGAGUUAUCGUAAGGGUUAGGUGUAGGGUGACUGGUGGGCCAAGGUUAAGGUUAGUGUUAGGUUUAGGGGUAGGGUUAGGGUUAAAGUUAGGGUUAGCUUUAGGUUAGGGAUAGGGUGAAGUUUAAGAUAGGGUGAGGGUUAGGGUUAUGGCUAAGGUUCGGGUUAGUUUUCGGGUUAGUGUUAAGGUUACGUUUAGGGUUAGGGUUAAGUUGAUGGGUUGUGUUUAGUUUUAGGGUUAGGGUUAGAUUUUAGGUUAGGGUUAAGUUUAGUGUAACAGUUAAGGUUACGGUUUGUGUUAGGCAUUGUGGUUGGGGUGAGGUUUAGGUUUAGGGUUAGGGUUGUGUAUGCUUAGGAUUAUGGUUAUGGUAAGGUGUUAGGGGUUAGAAGUGUAGUUUAGGGUUAGGGGUGGGUGAGGGUUCUGGUAAAGCAUUGUGGUUCUGACCAUGGUUAGGUUUGGUUUAGGGUUACGGUUAGCUUUAUGAUUAGGUUUCAGGUUAGUGUUCGAGUUAGAGUUAACGUUUGGGUUAGGCUUUGGUGUUAGGGGUUAGGGUUUGGGUUAGGGUUAGGGUUAUUGUUAGGGCUCAGGGGUUCAGGUUAGUGUUAGGGUUAGGGUUACGGAUAGCAUUAGGGUUAGGGUUGGGGAUACGGUUAGGGGUUAGGGUGAGGGUUACGGUUAGUUUUACAGUUAUGGUGAGUGUUCAGGGUAAGUGUUAUGGUUAUGGUUAGAGUUAGGGUUAGGGUUCGGGUGAAGUUUCAGUUAAUAGUGAGGGUUACGCUAAAAGUUAGGGUUAAUGUUAGAGUUAGGGUUAAGGUUAGCGUUAGUGUUAGGUUUAGGGUAGGUAAGGUUAGGGUUAAGACUAGGUUUACGGUAAAGGGUUGGGCUGGGUUAGGGUUAGGGUUAGGUUUAGAAUUGUACUUAGUGCUGAGUUUAGGGUUAGGGUUAGGGUCAGGAUUCGAGUUAUUGUUUGGUUUAGGUAUAGGUAGAGUUAAGGUUAGGUUUAAGUUUAGGUUUAGGGGAAGGGUUAGGUUUACGUCAGCGUUAGGUUUAGGAUUAGGGAUCGGGUUAGGGUUUGUGAAAGGGUUAGGGGUUCGUCUGAGGGUAAGUGUUAGGUUUACAGUUAAGCUGAUGUUUUAGGGUGUUAUGGUUAGGGUCAUUGUUAGGUUUAGCGUUCGGGCUAGAGUCAGGUGAUAGUUUAGGGUUAGGUUUAGGUUUAGUUUUAGGGUUAGGCUUAGGCUUAGGUUUAGGGUGAAGUUUAGGUUAAGGAUGAGGGUUAUGUUUAGGGUUAGUGUUAGGGUUAGGUGUUUGGGUUAAGGUUAGGGUCAGUUUAGGGUUCGGUUUAGAGUUCGGGUUAGCGUUAGGGUUCGGGUUAGGUGUUUGGGUUAACGUUAGGGUCAGGUUUAUGUUUGCGUUUAGGGUUAGUGUUGGGUUCGUUUUAGGGUUAGUGUUUGGGUGAAAUUUAAGUGAAGAGUGAGGGUUGAGCUUAGGGUUAGGGGUUAGGGUUAGGGUUAAGGUUCGUUUUAGGUUUAGGUUUAAGAUUAGGUUUAGGGUAAGUGUUAGGGUUAAAUCAUGGUUAGGCUAGGGCAUGGUUAAGGUUAGAGAUAGGGUGAGGUUAAGGGUUGGGGUUAGGUUUAGAUGUUAGGGUGAGGGUUAGUGCUAGGUUUCCAUUUAAGUUGAGUUUGUAGGGUAAGUUUUAGGGUUGGAUUAGGGUUAGAGUUAGAGUUAGGGUCAGGGUUAGGGUUAAGGUUCGGGUUAGGGUUAGGUUUAUGGUUAGGAUUUGGGUUACGGUCAGGGUUAGGGGGAGAUUUAGUGUUAUGUUUAGUUUCAGGGUCAGGGUUAGGGUGCAGUUUAGGUUAAGGAUGAGGGUUAGGGUUAGGUUUAGUGUUAGGGUUAGGUGUUUGGGUUAAGGUUAGGGUCAGGUUAGGGUUAGGGUUAGGGUUAGGCUUACUGUUUGUUAGGGUUAGGGUUAGGUGUUUGGGUUAAUGUUAGAGUCAGGUUUAGGGUUAGGUUUAGAGUUAGGAUUAGGAUUCGGUUUAAAGUUAGAGUUCGGGAUAGGGUGAAGUUUAAUUUAAGGGUGAGGGUUGAGCUUAGGGUUUGGGGUAGGGGUUAGGGUUCAGGUUAGGAUUAGGUUUAAGGUAAAGGUUAGGUUUAGGGUCAGGUUUAGGGUAAGUGUUAGGAUUAAGUCAUGUUUAGGUGUAGGGCUAGGAUAAGGUUAGAGAUAGGGUUAGGUUAAGGGUUGGGUUUAGGUUUAGAUGUUAGGGUGUGGGUUAGUGGUAGGUUUCCAUUUAAGCUGAGUGUGUAGGGUAAUUUUUAUGGUUAGGAUUAAGGUUAGAGUUAGGGUCAGGGUCAGGGUUAGGGUUAAGUUUAGGGUUAGUUUUAUGGUUAGGAUUGGGUUAGGUUCAUGGUUGGGGGAGAUUUAGUGUUAUGUUUAGUUUUAGGAUAGGGUUAGGGUGAAGUUGAUGUUAAGCGUGCGGGUUAGGGUUAGGGCUAGGGGUUAUUGUUCAGAUUAGUGUCAGGGGUAGGGUUAGGGAUAGGUUUAGGGUUUGUUUUAGUUUUGUUUAAGGUUAGGGUUUGAAUAAAGUUAGGGUAGGUUUAGGGUUAUGGUUAGGUCUGGGCUAAGGAUUAGGGUUAGAGUUAGGGUUAGGGGUGUUUUGGUUAGGUUUAGGGUAGGGUUUUAUUUAGGGCUAGGGUAAGAAUUAGAGUUACGUUUACACUUAAGGUGAAGGUUUUGGGUAUGUGUUACGGUUAGGGUUAGGGUUAGAGUUAGGAUUAGGGUUUAGGGUUAGGUUUAAUUUUAUGGUAGGGUUAAAGUUAAGGUUAAGGUUAGGUUGGAGUUAGGGUAGGGUUAGGAUUAGGAUUAGGUUUAGGGGGAGGUUUAGGGUCAGAGUUAUCGUAAGGGUUAGGUGUAGGGUGACUGGUGGGCCAAGGUUAAGGUUAGUGUUAGGUUUAGGGGUAGGGUUAGGGUUAAAGUUAGGGUUAGCUUUAGGUUAGGGAUAGGGUGAAGUUUAAGAUAGGGUGAGGGUUAGGGUUAUGGCUAAGGUUCGGGUUAGUUUUCGGGUUAGUGUUAAGGUUACGUUUAGGGUUAGGGUUAAGUUGAUGGGUUGUGUUUAGUUUUAGGGUUAGGGUUAGAUUUUAGGUUAGGGUUAAGUUUAGUGUAACAGUUAAGGUUACGGUUUGUGUUAGGCAUUGUGGUUGGGGUGAGGUUUAGGUUUAGGGUUAGGGUUGUGUAUGCUUAGGAUUAUGGUUAUGGUAAGGUGUUAGGGGUUAGAAGUGUAGUUUAGGGUUAGGGGUGGGUGAGGGUUCUGGUAAAGCAUUGUGGUUCUGACCAUGGUUAGGUUUGGUUUAGGGUUACGGUUAGCUUUAUGAUUAGGUUUCAGGUUAGUGUUCGAGUUAGAGUUAACGUUUGGGUUAGGCUUUGGUGUUAGGGGUUAGGGUUUGGGUUAGGGUUAGGGUUAUUGUUAGGGCUCAGGGGUUCAGGUUAGUGUUAGGGUUAGGGUUACGGAUAGCAUUAGGGUUAGGGUUGGGGAUACGGAUAGGGGUUAGGGUGAGGGUUACGGUUAGUUUUACAGUUAUGGUGAGUGUUCAGGGUAAGUGUUAUGGUUAUGGUUAGAGUUAGGGUUAGGGUUCGGGUGAAGUUUCAGUUAAUAGUGAGGGUUACGCUAAAAGUUAGGGUUAAUGUUAGAGUUAGGGUUAAGGUUAGCGUUAGUGUUAGGUUUAGGGUAGGUAAGGUUAGGGUUAAGACUAGGUUUACGGUAAAGGGUUGGGCUGGGUUAGGGUUAGGUUUAGAAUUAUACUUAGUGCUGAGUUUAGGGUUAGGGUUAGGGUCAGGAUUCGAGUUAUUGUUUGGUUUAGGUAUAGGUAGAGUUAAGGUUAGGUUUAAGUUUAGGUUUAGGGGAAGGGUUAGGUUUACGUCAGCGUUAGGUUUAGGAUUAGGGAUCGGGUUAGGGUUUGUGAAAGGGUUAGGGGUUCGUCUGAGGGUAAGUGUUAGGUUUACAGUUAAGCUGAUGUUUUAGGGUGUUAUGGUUAGGGUCAUUGUUAGGUUUAGCGUUCGGGCUAGAGUCAGGUGAUAGUUUAGGGUUAGGUUUAGGUUUAGUUUUAGGGUUAGGCUUAGGCUUAGGUUUAGGGUGAAGUUUAGGUUAAGGAUGAGGGUUAUGUUUAGGGUUAGUGUUAGGGUUAGGUGUUUGGGUUAAGGUUAGGGUCAGUUUAGGGUUCGGUUUAGAGUUCGGGUUAGCGUUAGGGUUCGGGUUAGGUGUUUGGGUUAACGUUAGGGUCAGGUUUAUGUUUGCGUUUAGGGUUAGUGUUGGGUUCGUUUUAGGGUUAGUGUUUGGGUGAAAUUUAAGUGAAGAGUGAGGGUUGAGCUUAGGGUUAGGGGUUAGGGUUAGGGUUAAGGUUCGUUUUAGGUUUAGGUUUAAGAUUAGGUUUAGGGUAAGUGUUAGGGUUAAAUCAUGGUUAGGCUAGGGCAUGGUUAAGGUUAGAGAUAGGGUGAGGUUAAGGGUUGGGGUUAGGUUUAGAUGUUAGGGUGAGGGUUAGUGCUAGGUUUCCAUUUAAGUUGAGUUUGUAGGGUAAGUUUUAGGGUUGGAUUAGGGUUAGAGUUAGAGUUAGGGUCAGGGUUAGGGUUAAGGUUCGGGUUAGGGUUAGGUUUAUGGUUAGGAUUUGGGUUACGGUCAGGGUUAGGGGGAGAUUUAGUGUUAUGUUUAGUUUCAGGGUCAGGGUUAGGGUGCAGUUUAGGUUAAGGAUGAGGGUUAGGGUUAGGUUUAGUGUUAGGGUUAGGUGUUUGGGUUAAGGUUAGGGUCAGGUUAGGGUUAGGGUUAGGGUUAGGCUUACUGUUUGUUAGGGUUAGGGUUAGGUGUUUGGGUUAAUGUUAGAGUCAGGUUUAGGGUUAGGUUUAGAGUUAGGAUUAGGAUUCGGUUUAAAGUUAGAGUUCGGGAUAGGGUGAAGUUUAAUUUAAGGGUGAGGGUUGAGCUUAGGGUUUGGGGUAGGGGUUAGGGUUCAGGUUAGGAUUAGGUUUAAGGUAAAAGUUAGGUUUAGGGUCAGGUUUAGGGUAAGUGUUAGGAUUAAGUCAUGUUUAGGUGUAGGGCUAGGAUAAGGUUAGAGAUAGGGUUAGGUUAAGGGUUGGGUUUAGGUUUAGAUGUUAGGGUGUGGGUUAGUGGUAGGUUUCCAUUUAAGCUGAGUGUGUAGGGUAAUUUUUAUGGUUAGGAUUAAGGUUAGAGUUAGGGUCAGGGUCAGGGUUAGGGUUAAGUUUAGGGUUAGUUUUAUGGUUAGGAUUGGGUUAGGUUCAUGGUUGGGGGAGAUUUAGUGUUAUGUUUAGUUUUAGGAUAGGGUUAGGGUGAAGUUGAUGUUAAGCGUGCGGGUUAGGGUUAGGGCUAGGGGUUAUUGUUCAGAUUAGUGUCAGGGGUAGGGUUAGGGAUAGGUUUAGGGUUUGUUUUAGUUUUGUUUAAGGUUAGGGUUUGAAUAAAGUUAGGGUAGGUUUAGGGUUAUGGUUAGGUCUGGGCUAAGGAUUAGGGUUAGAGUUAGGGUUAGGGGUGUUUUGGUUAGGUUUAGGGUAGGGUUUUAUUUAGGGCUAGGGUAAGAAUUAGAGUUACGUUUACACUUAAGGUGAAGGUUUUGGGUAUGUGUUACGGUUAGGGUUAGGGUUAGAGUUAGGAUUAGGGUUUAGGGUUAGGUUUAAUUUUAUGGUAGGGUUAAAGUUAAGGUUAAGGUUAGGUUGGAGUUAGGGUAGGGUUAGGAUUAGGAUUAGGUUUAGGGGGAGGUUUAGGGUCAGAGUGAUCGUAAGGGUUAGGUGUAGGGUGACUGGUGGGCCAAGGUUAAGGUUAGUGUUAGGUUUAGGGGUAGGGUUAGGGUUAAAGUUAGGGUUAGCUUUAGGUUAGGGAUAGGGUGAAGUUUAAGAUAGGGUGAGGGUUAGGGUUAUGGCUAAGGUUCGGGUUAGUUUUCGGGUUAGUGUUAAGGUUACGUUUAGGGUUAGGGUUAAGUUGAUGGGUUGUGUUUAGUUUUAGGGUUAGGGUUAGAUUUUAGGUUAGGGUUAAGUUUAGUGUAACAGUUAAGGUUACGGUUUGUGUUAGGCAUUGUGGUUGGGGUGAGGUUUAGGUUUAGGGUUAGGGUUGUGUAUGCUUAGGAUUAUGGUUAUGGUAAGGUGUUAGGGGUUAGAAGUGUAGUUUAGGGUUAGGGGUGGGUGAGGGUUCUGGUAAAGCAUUGUGGUUCUGACCAUGGUUAGGUUUGGUUUAGGGUUACGGUUAGCUUUAUGAUUAGGUUUCAGGUUAGUGUUCGAGUUAGAGUUAACGUUUGGGUUAGGCUUUGGUGUUAGGGGUUAGGGUUUGGGUUAGGGUUAGGGUUAUUGUUAGGGCUCAGGGGUUCAGGUUAGUGUUAGGGUUAGGGUUACGGAUAGCAAUAGGGUUAGGGUUGGGGAUACGGAUAGGGGUUAGGGUGAGGGUUACGGUUAGUUUUACAGUUAUGGUGAGUGUUCAGGGUAAGUGUUAUGGUUAUGGUUAGAGUUAGGGUUAGGGUUCGGGUGAAGUUUCAGUUAAUAGUGAGGGUUACGCUAAAAGUUAGGGUUAAUGUUAGAGUUAGGGUUAAGGUUAGCGUUAGUGUUAGGUUUAGGGUAGGUAAGGUUAGGGUUAAGACUAGGUUUACGGUAAAGGGUUGGGCUGGGUUAGGGUUAGGGUUAGGUUUAGAAUUAUACUUAGUGCUGAGUUUAGGGUUAGGGUUAGGGUCAGGAUUCGAGUUAUUGUUUGGUUUAGGUAUAGGUAGAGUUAAGGUUAGGUUUAAGUUUAGGUUUAGGGGAAGGGUUAGGUUUACGUCAGCGUUAGGUUUAGGAUUAGGGAUCGGGUUAGGGUUUGUGAAAGGGUUAGGGGUUCGUCUGAGGGUAAGUGUUAGGUUUACAGUUAAGCUGAUGUUUUAGGGUGUUAUGGUUAGGGUCAUUGUUAGGUUUAGCGUUCGGGCUAGAGUCAGGUGAUAGUUUAGGGUUAGGUUUAGGUUUAGUUUUAGGGUUAGGCUUAGGCUUAGUUUUAGGGUGAAGUUUAGGUUAAGGAUGAGGGUUAUGUUUAGGGUUAGUGUUAGGGUUAGGUGUUUGGGUUAAGGUUAGGGUCAGUUUAGGGUUCGGUUUAGAGUUCGGGUUAGCGUUAGGGUUCGGGUUAGGUGUUUGGGUUAACGUUAGGGUCAGGUUUAUGUUUGCGUUUAGGGUUAGUGUUGGGUUCGUUUUAGGGUUAGUGUUUGGGUGAAAUUUAAGUGAAGAGUGAGGGUUGAGCUUAGGGUUAGGGGUUAGGGUUAGGGUUAAGGCUCGUUUUAGGUUUAGGUUUAAGAUUAGGUUUAGGGUUAGGUUUAGGGUUAAAUCAUGGUUAGGCUAGGGCAUGGUUAAGGUUAGAGAUAGGGUGAGGUUAAGGGUUGGGGUUAGGUUUAGAUGUUAGGGUGAGGGUUAGUGCUAGGUUUCCAUUUAAGUUGAGUUUGUAGGGUAAGUUUUAGGGUUGGAUUAGGGUUAGAGUUAGAGUUAGAGUCAGGGUUAGGGUUAAGGUUCGGGUUAGGGUUAGGUUUAUGGUUAGGAUUUGGGUUACGGUCAGGGUUAGGGGGAGAUUUAGUGUUAUGUUUAGUUUCAGGGUCAGGGUUAGGGUGCAGUUUAGGUUAAGGAUGAGGGUUAGGGUUAGGUUUAGUGUUAGGGUUAGGUGUUUGGGUUAAGGUUAGGGUCAGGUUAGGGUUAGGGUUAGGGUUAGGCUUACUGUUAGGGUUAGGGUUAGGUGUUUGGGUUAAUGUUAGAGUCAGGUUUAGGGUUAGGUUUAGAGUUAGGAUUAGGAUUCGGUUUAAAGUUAGAGUUCGGGAUAGGGUGAAGUUUAAUUUAAGGGUGAGGGUUGAGCUUAGGGUUUGGGGUAGGGGUUAGGGUUCAGGUUAGGAUUAGGUUUAAGGUAAAGGUUAGGUUUAGGGUCAGGUUUAGGGUAAGUGUUAGGAUUAAGUCAUGUUUAGGUGUAGGGCUAGGAUAAGGUUAGAGAUAGGGUUAGGUUAAGGGUUGGGUUUAGGUUUAGAUGUUAGGGUGUGGGUUAGUGGUAGGUUUCCAUUUAAGCUGAGUGUGUAGGGUAAUUUUUAUGGUUAGGAUUAAGGUUAGAGUUAGGGUCAGGGUCAGGGUUAGGGUUAAGUUUAGGGUUAGUUUUAUGGUUAGGAUUGGGUUAGGUUCAUGGUUGGGGGAGAUUUAGUGUUAUGUUUAGUUUUAGGAUAGGGUUGGGGUGAAGUUGAUGUUAAGCGUGCGGGUUAGGGUUAGGGCUAGGGGUUAUUGUUCAGAUUAGUGUCAGGGGUAGGGUUAGGGAUAGGUUUAGGGUUUGUUUUAGUUUUGUUUAAGGUUAGGGUUUGAAUAAAGUUAGGGUAGGUUUAGGGUUAUGGUUAGGUCUGGGCUAAGGAUUAGGGUUAGAGUUAGGGUUAGGGGUGUUUUGGUUAGGUUUAGGGUAGGGUUUUAUUUAGGGUUAGGGUAAGAAUUAGAGUUACGUUUACACUUAAGGUGAAGGUUUUGGGUAUGUGUUACGGUUAGGGUUAGGGUUAGAGUUAGGAUUAGGGUUUAGGGUUAGGUUUAAUUUUAUGGUAGGGUUAAAGUUAAGGUUAAGGUUAGGUUGGAGUUAGGGUAGGGUUAGGAUUAGGAUUAGGUUUAGGGGGAGGUUUAGGGUCAGAGUUAUCGUAAGGGUUAGGUGUAGGGUGACUGGUGGGCCAAGGUUAAGGUUAGUGUUAGGUUUAGGGGUAGGGUUAGGGUUAAAGUUAGGGUUAGCUUUAGGUUAGGGAUAGGGUGAAGUUUAAGAUAGGGUGAGGGUUAGGGUUAUGGCUAAGGUUCGGGUUAGUUUUCGGGUUAGUGUUAAGGUUACGUUUAGGGUUAGGGUUAAGUUUAUGGGUUGUGUUUAGUUUUAGGGUUAGGGUUAGAUUUUAGGUUAGGGUUAAGUUUAGUGUAACAGUUAAGGUUACGGUUUGUGUUAGGCAUUGUGGUUGGGGUGAGGUUUAGGUUUAGGGUUAGGGUUGUGUAUGCUUAGGAUUAUGGUUAUGGUAAGGUGUUAGGGGUUAGAAGUGUAGUUUAGGGUUAGGGGUGGGUGAGGGUUCUGGUAAAGCAUUGUGGUUCUGACCAUGGUUAGGUUUGGUUUAGGGUUACGGUUAGCUUUAUGAUUAGGUUUCAGGUUAGUGUUCGAGUUAGAGUUAACGUUUGGGUUAGGCUUUGGUGUUAGGGGUUAGGGUUUGGGUUAGGGUUAGGGUUAUUGUUAGGGCUCAGGGGUUCAGGUUAGUGUUAGGGUUAGGGUUACGGAUAGCAUUAGGGUUAGGGUUGGGGAUACGGAUAGGGGUUAGGGUGAGGGUUACGGUUAGUUUUACAGUUAUGGUGAGUGUUCAGGGUAAGUGUUAUGGUUAUGGUUAGAGUUAGGGUUAGGGUUCGGGUGAAGUUUCAGUUAAUAGUGAGGGUUACGCUAAAAGUUAGGGUUAAUGUUAGAGUUAGGGUUAAGGUUAGCGUUAGUGUUAGGUUUAGGGUAGGUAAGGUUAGGGUUAAGACUAGGUUUACGGUAAAGGGUUGGGCUGGGUUAGGGUUAGGGUUAGGUUUAGAAUUAUACUUAGUGCUGAGUUUAGGGUUAGGGUUAGGGUCAGGAUUCGAGUUAUUGUUUGGUUUAGGUAUAGGUAGAGUUAAGGUUAGGUUUAAGUUUAGGUUUAGGGGAAGGGUUAGGUUUACGUCAGCGUUAGGUUUAGGAUUAGGGAUCGGGUUAGGGUUUGUGAAAGGGUUAGGGGUUCGUCUGAGGGUAAGUGUUAGGUUUACAGUUAAGCUGAUGUUUUAGGGUGUUAUGGUUAGGGUCAUUGUUAGGUUUAGCGUUCGGGCUAGAGUCAGGUGAUAGUUUAGCGUUAGGUUUAGGUUUAGUUUUAGGGUUAGGCUUAGGCUUAGGUUUAGGGUGAAAUUUAGGUUAAGGAUGAGGGUUAUGUUUAGGGUUAGUGUUAGGGUUAGGUGUUUGGGUUAAGGUUAGGGUCAGUUUAGGGUUCGGUUUAGAGUUCGGGUUAGCGUUAGGGUUCGGGUUAGGUGUUUGGGUUAACGUUAGGGUCAGGUUUAUGUUUGCGUUUAGGGUUAGUGUUGGGUUCGUUUUAGGGUUAGUGUUUGGGUGAAAUUUAAGUGAAGAGUGAGGGUUGAGCUUAGGGUUAGGGGUUAGGGUUAGGGUUAAGGUUCGUUUUAGGUUUAGGUUUAAGAUUAGGUUUAGGGUUAGGUUUAGGGUUAAAUCAUGGUUAGGCUAGGGCAUGGUUAAGGUUAGAGAUAGGGUGAGGUUAAGGGUUGGGUUUAGGUUUAGAUGUUAGGGUGUGGGUUAGUGGUAGGUUUCCAUUUAAGCUGAGUGUGUAGGGUAAUUUUUAUGGUUAGGAUUAAGGUUAGAGUUAGGGUCAGGGUCAGGGUUAGGGUUAAGUUUAGGGUGAGUUUUAUGGUUAGGAUUGGGUUAGGUUCAUGGUUGGGGGAGAUUUAGUGUUAUGUUUAGUUUUAGGAUAGGGUUAGGGUGAAGUUGAUGUUAAGCGUGCGGGUUAGGGUUAGGGCUAGGGGUUAUUGUUCAGAUUAGUGUCAGGGGUAGGGUUAGGGAUAGGUUUAGGGUUUGUUUUAGUUUUGUUUAAGGUUAGGGUUUGAAUAAAGUUAGGGUAGGUUUAGGGUUAUGGUUAGGUCUGGGCUAAGGAUUAGGGUUAGAGUUAGGGUUAGGGGUGUUUUGGUUAGGUUUAGGGUAGGGUUUUAUUUAGGGUUAGGGUAAGAAUUAGAGUUACGUUUACACUUAAGGUGAAGGUUUUGGGUAUGUGUUAAGGUUAGGGUUAGGGUUAGAGUUAGGAUUAGGGUUUAGGGUUAGGUUUAAUUUUAUGGUAGGGUUAAAGUUAAGGUUAAGGUUAGGUUGGAGUUAGGGUAGGGUUAGGAUUAGGAUUAGGUUUAGGGGGAGGUUUAGGGUCAGAGUGAUCGUAAGGGUUAGGUGUAGGGUGACUGGUGGGCCAAGGUUAAGGUUAGUGUUAGGUUUAGGGGUAGGGUUAGGGUUAAAGUUAGGGUUAGCUUUAGGUUAGGGAUAGGGUGAAGUUUAAGAUAGGGUGAGGGUUAGGGUUAUGGCUAAGGUUCGGGUUAGUUUUCGGGUUAGUGUUAAGGUUACGUUUAGGGUUAGGGUUAAGUUUAUGGGUUGUGUUUAGUUUUAGGGUUAGGGUUAGAUUUUAGGUUAGGGUUAAGUUUAGUGUAACAGUUAAGGUUACGGUUUGUGUUAGGCAUUGUGGUUGGGGUGAGGUUUAGGUUUAGGGUUAGGGUUGUGUAUGCUUAGGAUUAUGGUUAUGGUAAGGUGUUAGGGGUUAGAAGUGUAGUUUAGGGUUAGGGGUGGGUGAGGGUUCUGGUAAAGCAUUGUGGUUCUGACCAUGGUUAGGUUUGGUUUAGGGUUACGGUUAGCUUUAUGAUUAGGUUUCAGGUUAGUGUUCGAGUUAGAGUUAACGUUUGGGUUAGGCUUUGGUGUUAGGGGUUAGGGUUUGGGUUAGGGUUAGGGUUAUUGUUAGGGCUCAGGGGUUCAGGUUAGUGUUAGGGUUAGGGUUACGGAUAGCAUUAGGGUUAGGGUUGGGGAUACGGUUAGGGGUUAGGGUGAGGGUUACGGUUAGUUUUACAGUUAUGGUGAGUGUUCAGGGUAAGUGUUAUGGUUAUGGUUAGAGUUAGGGUUAGGGUUCGGGUGAAGUUUCAGUUAAUAGUGAGGGUUACGCUAAAAGUUAGGGUUAAUGUUAGAGUUAGGGUUAAGGUUAGCGUUAGUGUUAGGUUUAGGGUAGGUAAGGUUAGGGUUAAGACUAGGUUUACGGUAAAGGGUUGGGCUGGGUUAGGGUUAGGGUUAGGUUUAGAAUUAUACUUAGUGCUGAGUUUAGGGUUAGGGUUAGGGUCAGGAUUCGAGUUAUUGUUUGGUUUAGGUAUAGGUAGAGUUAAGGUUAGGUUUAAGUUUAGGUUUAGGGGAAGGGUUAGGUUUACGUCAGCGUUAGGUUUAGGAUUAGGGAUCGGGUUAGGGUUUGUGAAAGGGUUAGGGGUUCGUCUGAGGGUAAGUGUUAGGUUUACAGUUAAGCUGAUGUUUUAGGGUGUUAUGGUUAGGGUCAUUGUUAGGUUUAGCGUUCGGGCUAGAGUCAGGUGAUAGUUUAGCGUUAGGUUUAGGUUUAGUUUUAGGGUUAGGCUUAGGCUUAGGUUUAGGGUGAAAUUUAGGUUAAGGAUGAGGGUUAUGUUUAGGGUUAGUGUUAGGGUUAGGUGUUUGGGUUAAGGUUAGGGUCAGUUUAGGGUUCGGUUUAGAGUUCGGGUUAGCGUUAGGGUUCGGGUUAGGUGUUUGGGUUAACGUUAGGGUCAGGUUUAUGUUUGCGUUUAGGGUUAGUGUUGGGUUCGUUUUAGGGUUAGUGUUUGGGUGAAAUUUAAGUGAAGAGUGAGGGUUGAGCUUAGGGUUAGGGGUUAGGGUUAGGGUUAAGGUUCGUUUUAGGUUUAGGUUUAAGAUUAGGUUUAGGGUUAGGUUUAGGGUUAAAUCAUGGUUAGGCUAGGGCAUGGUUAAGGUUAGAGAUAGGGUGAGGUUAAGGGUUGGGUUUAGGUUUAGAUGUUAGGGUGUGGGUUAGUGGUAGGUUUCCAUUUAAGCUGAGUGUGUAGGGUAAUUUUUAUGGUUAGGAUUAAGGUUAGAGUUAGGGUCAGGGUCAGGGUUAGGGUUAAGUUUAGGGUGAGUUUUAUGGUUAGGAUUGGGUUAGGUUCAUGGUUGGGGGAGAUUUAGUGUUAUGUUUAGUUUUAGGAUAGGGUUAGGGUGAAGUUGAUGUUAAGCGUGCGGGUUAGGGUUAGGGCUAGGGGUUAUUGUUCAGAUUAGUGUCAGGGGUAGGGUUAGGGAUAGGUUUAGGGUUUGUUUUAGUUUUGUUUAAGGUUAGGGUUUGAAUAAAGUUAGGGUAGGUUUAGGGUUAUGGUUAGGUCUGGGCUAAGGAUUAGGGUUAGAGUUAGGGUUAGGGGUGUUUUGGUUAGGUUUAGGGUAGGGUUUUAUUUAGGGUUAGGGUAAGAAUUAGAGUUACGUUUACACUUAAGGUGAAGGUUUUGGGUAUGUGUUACGGUUAGGGUUAGGGUUAGAGUUAGGAUUAGGGUUUAGGGUUAGGUUUAAUUUUAUGGUAGGGUUAAAGUUAAGGUUAAGGUUAGGUUGGAGUUAGGGUAGGGUUAGGAUUAGGAUUAGGUUUAGGGGGAGGUUUAGGGUCAGAGUGAUCGUAAGGGUUAGGUGUAGGGUGACUGGUGGGCCAAGGUUAAGGUUAGUGUUAGGUUUAGGGGUAGGGUUAGGGUUAAAGUUAGGGUUAGCUUUAGGUUAGGGAUAGGGUGAAGUUUAAGAUAGGGUGAGGGUUAGGGUUAUGGCUAAGGUUCGGGUUAGUUUUCGGGUUAGUGUUAAGGUUACGUUUAGGGUUAGGGUUAAGUUUAUGGGUUGUGUUUAGUUUUAGGGUUAGGGUUAGAUUUUAGGUUAGGGUUAAGUUUAGUGUAACAGUUAAGGUUACGGUUUGUGUUAGGCAUUGUGGUUGGGGUGAGGUUUAGGUUUAGGGUUAGGGUUGUGUAUGCUUAGGAUUAUGGUUAUGGUAAGGUGUUAGGGGUUAGAAGUGUAGUUUAGGGUUAGGGGUGGGUGAGGGUUCUGGUAAAGCAUUGUGGUUCUGACCAUGGUUAGGUUUGGUUUAGGGUUACGGUUAGCUUUAUGAUUAGGUUUCAGGUUAGUGUUCGAGUUAGAGUUAACGUUUGGGUUAGGCUUUGGUGUUAGGGGUUAGGGUUUGGGUUAGGGUUAGGGUUAUUGUUAGGGCUCAGGGGUUCAGGUUAGUGUUAGGGUUAGGGUUACGGAUAGCAUUAGGGUUAGGGUUGGGGAUACGGUUAGGGGUUAGGGUGAGGGUUACGGUUAGUUUUACAGUUAUGGUGAGUGUUCAGGGUAAGUGUUAUGGUUAUGGUUAGAGUUAGGGUUAGGGUUCGGGUGAAGUUUCAGUUAAUAGUGAGGGUUACGCUAAAAGUUAGGGUUAAUGUUAGAGUUAGGGUUAAGGUUAGCGUUAGUGUUAGGUUUAGGGUAGGUAAGGUUAGGGUUAAGACUAGGUUUACGGUAAAGGGUUGGGCUGGGUUAGGGUUAGGGUUAGGUUUAGAAUUAUACUUAGUGCUGAGUUUAGGGUUAGGGUUAGGGUCAGGAUUCGAGUUAUUGUUUGGUUUAGGUAUAGGUAGAGUUAAGGUUAGGUUUAAGUUUAGGUUUAGGGGAAGGGUUAGGUUUACGUCAGCGUUAGGUUUAGGAUUAGGGAUCGGGUUAGGGUUUGUGAAAGGGUUAGGGGUUCGUCUGAGGGUAAGUGUUAGGUUUACAGUUAAGCUGAUGUUUUAGGGUGUUAUGGUUAGGGUCAUUGUUAGGUUUAGCGUUCGGGCUAGAGUCAGGUGAUAGUUUAGCGUUAGGUUUAGGUUUAGUUUUAGGGUUAGGCUUAGGCUUAGGUUUAGGGUGAAAUUUAGGUUAAGGAUGAGGGUUAUGUUUAGGGUUAGUGUUAGGGUUAGGUGUUUGGGUUAAGGUUAGGGUCAGUUUAGGGUUCGGUUUAGAGUUCGGGUUAGCGUUAGGGUUCGGGUUAGGUGUUUGGGUUAACGUUAGGGUCAGGUUUAUGUUUGCGUUUAGGGUUAGUGUUGGGUUCGUUUUAGGGUUAGUGUUUGGGUGAAAUUUAAGUGAAGAGUGAGGGUUGAGCUUAGGGUUAGGGGUUAGGGUUAGGGUUAAGGUUCGUUUUAGGUUUAGGUUUAAGAUUAGGUUUAGGGUUAGGUUUAGGGUUAAAUCAUGGUUAGGCUAGGGCAUGGUUAAGGUUAGAGAUAGGGUGAGGUUAAGGGUUGGGUUUAGGUUUAGAUGUUAGGGUGUGGGUUAGUGGUAGGUUUCCAUUUAAGCUGAGUGUGUAGGGUAAUUUUUAUGGUUAGGAUUAAGGUUAGAGUUAGGGUCAGGGUCAGGGUUAGGGUUAAGUUUAGGGUGAGUUUUAUGGUUAGGAUUGGGUUAGGUUCAUGGUUGGGGGAGAUUUAGUGUUAUGUUUAGUUUUAGGAUAGGAUUGGGGUGAAGUUGAUGUUAAGCGUGCGGGUUAGGGUUAGGGCUAGGGGUUAUUGUUCAGAUUAGUGUCAGGGAUAGGGUUAGGGAUAGGUUUAGGGUUUGUUUUAGUUUUGUUUAAGGUUAGGGUUUGAAUAAAGUUAGGGUAGGUUUAGGGUUAUGGUUAGGUCUGGGCUAAGGAUUAGGGUUAGAGUUAGGGUUAGGGGUGUUUUGGUUAGGUUUAGGGUAGGGUUUUAUUUAGGGUUAGGGUAAGAAUUAGAGUUACGUUUACACUUAAGGUGAAGGUUUUGGGUAUGUGUUACGGUUAGGGUUAGGGUUAGAGUUAGGAUUAGGGUUUAGGGUUAGGUUUAAUUUUAUGGUAGGGUUAAAGUUAAGGUUAAGGUUAGGUUGGAGUUAGGGUAGGGUUAGGAUUAGGAUUAGGUUUAGGGGGAGGUUUAGGGUCAGAGUUAUCGUAAGGGUUAGGUGUAGGGUGACUGGUGGGCCAAGGUUAAGGUUAGUGUUAGGUUUAGGGGUAGGGUUAGGGUUAAAGUUAGGGUUAGCUUUAGGUUAGGGAUAGGGUGAAGUUUAAGAUAGGGUGAGGGUUAGGGUUAUGGCUAAGGUUCGGGUUAGUUUUCGGGUUAGUGUUACGGUUACGUUUAGGGUUAGGGUUAAGUUUAUGGGUUGUGUUUAGUUUUAGGGUUAGGGUUAGAUUUUAGGUUAGGGUUAAGUUUAGUGUAACAGUUAAGGUUACGGUUUGUGUUAGGCAUUGUGGUUGGGGUGAGGUUUAGGUUUAGGGUUAGGGUUGUGUAUGCUUAGGAUUAUGGUUAUGGUAAGGUGUUAGGGGUUAGAAGUGUAGUUUAGGGUUAGGGGUGGGUGAGGGUUCUGGUAAAGCAUUGUGGUUCUGACCAUGGUUAGGUUUGGUUUAGGGUUACGGUUAGCUUUAUGAUUAGGUUUCAGGUUAGUGUUCGAGUUAGAGUUAACGUUUGGGUUAGGCUUUGGUGUUAGGGGUUAGGGUUUGGGUUAGGGUUAGGGUUAUUGUUAGGGCUCAGGGGUUCAGGUUAGUGUUAGGGUUAGGGUUACGGAUAGCAUUAGGGUUAGGGUUGGGGAUACGGUUAGGGGUUAGGGUGAGGGUUACGGUUAGUUUUACAGUUAUGGUGAGUGUUCAGGGUAAGUGUUAUGGUUAUGGUUAGAGUUAGGGUUAGGGUUCGGGUGAAGUUUCAGUUAAUAGUGAGGGUUACGCUAAAAGUUAGGGUUAAUGUUAGAGUUAGGGUUAAGGUUAGCGUUAGUGUUAGGUUUAGGGUAGGUAAGGUUAGGGUUAAGACUAGGUUUACGGUAAAGGGUUGGGCUGGGUUAGGGUUAGGGUUAGGUUUAGAAUUAUACUUAGUGCUGAGUUUAGGGUUAGGGUUAGGGUCAGGAUUCGAGUUAUUGUUUGGUUUAGGUAUAGGUAGAGUUAAGGUUAGGUUUAAGUUUAGGUUUAGGGGAAGGGUUAGGUUUACGUCAGCGUUAGGUUUAGGAUUAGGGAUCGGGUUAGGGUUUGUGAAAGGGUUAGGGGUUCGUCUGAGGGUAAGUGUUAGGUUUACAGUUAAGCUGAUGUUUUAGGGUGUUAUGGUUAGGGUCAUUGUUAGGUUUAGCGUUCGGGCUAGAGUCAGGUGAUAGUUUAGGGUUAGGUUUAGGUUUAGUUUUAGGGUUAGGCUUAGGCUUAGGUUUAGGGUGAAGUUUAGGUUAAGGAUGAGGGUUAUGUUUAGGGUUAGUGUUAGGGUUAGGUGUUUGGGUUAAGGUUAGGGUCAGUUUAGGGUUCGGUUUAGAGUUCGGGUUAGCGUUAGGGUUCGGGUUAGGUGUUUGGGUUAACGUUAGGGUCAGGUUUAUGUUUGCGUUCAGGGUUAGUGUUGGGUUCGUUUUAGGGUUAGUGUUUGGGUGAAAUUUAAGUGAAGAGUGAGGGUUGAGCUUAGGGUUAGGGGUUAGGGUUAGGGUUAAGGUUCGUUUUAGGUUUAGGUUUAAGAUUAGGUUUAGGGUUAGGUUUAGGGUUAAAUCAUGGUUAGGCUAGGGCAUGGUUAAGGUUAGAGAUAGGGUGAGGUUAAGGGUUGGGGUUAGGUUUAGAUGUUAGGGUGUGGGUUAGUGGUAGGUUUCCAUUUAAGCUGAGUGUGUAGGGUAAUUUUUAUGGUUAGGAUUAAGGUUAGAGUUAGGGUCAGGGUCAGGGUUAGGGUUAAGUUUAGGGUUAGUUUUAUGGUUAGGAUUGGGUUAGGUUCAUGGUUGGGGGAGAUUUAGUGUUAUGUUUAGUUUUAGGAUAGGGUUAGGGUGAAGUUGAUGUUAAGCGUGCGGGUUAGGGUUAGGGCUAGGGGUUAUUGUUCAGAUUAGUGUCAGGGGUAGGGUUAGGGAUAGGUUUAGGGUUUGUUUUAGUUUUGUUUAAGGUUAGGGUUUGAAUAAAGUUAGGGUAGGUUUAGGGUUAUGGUUAGGUCUGGGCUAAGGAUUAGGGUUAGAGUUAGGGUUAGGGGUGUUUUGGUUAGGUUUAGGGUAGGGUUUUAUUUAGGGUUAGGGUAAGAAUUAGAGUUACGUUUACACUUAAGGUGAAGGUUUUGGGUAUGUGUUACGGUUAGGGUUAGGGUUAGAGUUAGGAUUAGGGUUUAGGGUUAGGUUUAAUUUUAUGGUAGGGUUAAAGUUAAGGUUAAGGUUAGGUUGGAGUUAGGGUAGGGUUAGGAUUAGGAUUAGGUUUAGGGGGAGGUUUAGGGUCAGAGUUAUCGUAAGGGUUAGGUGUAGGGUGACUGGUGGGCCAAGGUUAAGGUUAGUGUUAGGUUUAGGGGUAGGGUUAGGGUUAAAGUUAGGGUUAGCUUUAGGUUAGGGAUAGGGUGAAGUUUAAGAUAGGGUGAGGGUUAGGGUUAUGGCUAAGGUUCGGGUUAGUUUUCGGGUUAGUGUUAAGGUUACGUUUAGGGUUAGGGUUAAGUUUAUGGGUUGUGUUUAGUUUUAGGGUUAGGGUUAGAUUUUAGGUUAGGGUUAAGUUUAGUGUAACAGUUAAGGUUACGGUUUGUGUUAGGCAUUGUGGUUGGGGUGAGGUUUAGGUUUAGGGUUAGGGUUGUGUAUGCUUAGGAUUAUGGUUAUGGUAAGGUGUUAGGGGUUAGAAGUGUAGUUUAGGGUUAGGGGUGGGUGAGGGUUCUGGUAAAGCAUUGUGGUUCUGACCAUGGUUAGGUUUGGUUUAGGGUUACGGUUAGCUUUAUGAUUAGGUUUCAGGUUAGUGUUCGAGUUAGAGUUAACGUUUGGGUUAGGCUUUGGUGUUAGGGGUUAGGGUUUGGGUUAGGGUUAGGGUUAUUGUUAGGGCUCAGGGGUUCAGGUUAGUGUUAGGGUUAGGGUUACGGAUAGCAUUAGGGUUAGGGUUGGGGAUACGGUUAGGGGUUAGGGUGAGGGUUACGGUUAGUUUUACAGUUAUGGUGAGUGUUCAGGGUAAGUGUUAUGGUUAUGGUUAGAAUUAGGGUUAGGGUUCGGGUGAAGUUUCAGUUAAUAGUGAGGGUUACGCUAAAAGUUAGGGUUAAUGUUAGAGUUAGGGUUAAGGUUAGCGUUAGUGUUAGGUUUAGGGUAGGUAAGGUUAGGGUUAAGACUAGGUUUACGGUAAAGGGUUGGGCUGGGUUAGGGUUAGGGUUAGGUUUAGAAUUAUACUUAGUGCUGAGUUUAGGGUUAGGGUUAGGGUCAGGAUUCGAGUUAUUGUUUGGUUUAGGUAUAGGUAGAGUUAAGGUUAGGUUUAAGUUUAGGUUUAGGGGAAGGGUUAGGUUUACGUCAGCGUUAGGUUUAGGAUUAGGGAUCGGGUUAGGGUUUGUGAAAGGGUUAGGGGUUCGUCUGAGGGUAAGUGUUAGGUUUACAGUUAAGCUGAUGUUUUAGGGUGUUAUGGUUAGGGUCAUUGUUAGGUUUAGCGUUCGGGCUAGAGUCAGGUGAUAGUUUAGGGUUAGGUUUAGGUUUAGUUUUAGGGUUAGGCUUAGGCUUAGGUUUAGGGUGAAGUUUAGGUUAAGGAUGAGGGUUAUGUUUAGGGUUAGUGUUAGGGUUAGGUGUUUGGGUUAAGGUUAGGGUCAGUUUAGUGUUCGGUUUAGAGUUCGGGUUAGCGUUAGGGUUCGGGUUAGGUGUUUGGGUUAACGUUAGGGUCAGGUUUAUGUUUGCGUUUAGGGUUAGUGUUGGGUUCGUUUUAGGGUUAGUGUUUGGGUGAAAUUUAAGUGAAGAGUGAGGGUUGAGCUUAGGGUUAGGGGUUAGGGUUAGGGUUAAGGUUCGUUUUAGGUUUAGGUUUAAGAUUAGGUUUAGGGUAAGUGUUAGGGUUAAAUCAUGGUUAGGCUAGGGCAUGGUUAAGGUUAGAGAUAGGGUGAGGUUAAGGGUUGGGGUUAGGUUUAGAUGUUAGGGUGAGGGUUAGUGCUAGGUUUCCAUUUAAGUUGAGUUUGUAGGGUAAGUUUUAGGGUUGGAUUAGGGUUAGAGUUAGAGUUAGGGUCAGGGUUAGGGUUAAGGUUCGGGUUAGGGUUAGGUUUAUGGUUAGGAUUUGGGUUACGGUCAGGGUUAGGGGGAGAUUUAGUGUUAUGUUUAGUUUCAGGGUCAGGGUUAGGGUGCAGUUUAGGUUAAGGAUGAGGGUUAGGGUUAGGUUUAGUGUUAGGGUUAGGUGUUUGGGUUAAGGUUAGGGUCAGGUUAGGGUUAGGGUUAGGGUUAGGCUUACUGUUUGUUAGGGUUAGGGUUAGGUGUUUGGGUUAAUGUUAGAGUCAGGUUUAGGGUUAGGUUUAGAGUUAGGAUUAGGAUUCGGUUUAAAGUUAGAGUUCGGGAUAGGGUGAAGUUUAAUUUAAGGGUGAGGGUUGAGCUUAGGGUUUGGGGUAGGGGUUAGGGUUCAGGUUAGGAUUAGGUUUAAGGUAAAGGUUAGGUUUAGGGUCAGGUUUAGGGUAAGUGUUAGGAUUAAGUCAUGUUUAGGUGUAGGGCUAGGAUAAGGUUAGAGAUAGGGUUAGGUUAAGGGUUGGGUUUAGGUUUAGAUGUUAGGGUGUGGGUUAGUGGUAGGUUUCCAUUUAAGCUGAGUGUGUAGGGCAAUUUUUAUGGUUAGGAUUAAGGUUAGAGUUAGGGUCAGGGUCAGGGUUAGGGUUAAGUUUAGGGUUAGUUUUAUGGUUAGGAUUGGGUUAGGUUCAUGGUUGGGGGAGAUUUAGUGUUAUGUUUAGUUUUAGGAUAGGGUUAGGGUGAAGUUGAUGUUAAGCGUGCGGGUUAGGGUUAGGGCUAGGGGUUAUUGUUCAGAUUAGUGUCAGGGGUAGGGUUAGGGAUAGGUUUAGGGUUUGUUUUAGUUUUGUUUAAGGUUAGGUUUUGAAUAAAGUUAGGGUAGGUUUAGGGUUAUGGUUAGGUCUGGGCUAAGGAUUAGGGUUAGAGUUAGGGUUAGGGGUGUUUUGGUUAGGUUUAGGGUAGGGUUUUAUUUAGGGUUAGGGUAAGAAUUAGAGUUACGUUUACACUUAAGGUGAAGGUUUUGGGUAUGUGUUACGGUUAGGGUUAGGGUUAGAGUUAGGAUUAGGGUUUAGGGUUAGGUUUAAUUUUAUGGUAGGGUUAAAGUUAAGGUUAAGGUUAGGUUGGAGUUAGGGUAGGGUUAGGAUUAGGAUUAGGUUUAGGGGGAGGUUUAGGGUCAGAGUGAUCGUAAGGGUUAGGUGUAGGGUGACUGGUGGGCCAAGGUUAAGGUUAGUGUUAGGUUUAGGGGUAGGGUUAGGGUUAAAGUUAGGGUUAGCUUUAGGUUAGGGAUAGGGUGAAGUUUAAGAUAGGGUGAGGGUUAGGGUUAUGGCUAAGGUUCGGGUUAGUUUUCGGGUUAGUGUUAAGGUUACGUUUAGGGUUAGGGUUAAGUUUAUGGGUUGUGUUUAGUUUUAGGGUUAGGGUUAGAUUUUAGGUUAGGGUUAAGUUUAGUGUAACAGUUAAGGUUACGGUUUGUGUUAGGCAUUGUGGUUGGGGUGAGGUUUAGGUUUAGGGUUAGGGUUGUGUAUGCUUAGGAUUAUGGUUAUGGUAAGGUGUUAGGGGUUAGAAGUGUAGUUUAGGGUUAGGGGUGGGUGAGGGUUCUGGUAAAGCAUUGUGGUUCUGACCAUGGUUAGGUUUGGUUUAGGGUUACGGUUAGCUUUAUGAUUAGGUUUCAGGUUAGUGUUCGAGUUAGAGUUAACGUUUGGGUUAGGCUUUGGUGUUAGGGGUUAGGGUUUGGGUUAGGGUUAGGGUUAUUGUUAGGGCUCAGGGGUUCAGGUUAGUGUUAGGGUUAGGGUUACGGAUAGCAUUAGGGUUAGGGUUGGGGAUACGGAUAGGGGUUAGGGUGAGGGUUACGGUUAGUUUUACAGUUAUGGUGAGUGUUCAGGGUAAGUGUUAUGGUUAUGGUUAGAGUUAGGGUUAGGGUUCGGGUGAAGUUUCAGUUAAUAGUGAGGGUUACGCUAAAAGUUAGGGUUAAUGUUAGAGUUAGGGUUAAGGUUAGCGUUAGUGUUAGGUUUAGGGUAGGUAAGGUUAGGGUUAAGACUAGGUUUACGGUAAAGGGUUGGGCUGGGUUAGGGUUAGGGUUAGGUUUAGAAUUAUACUUAGUGCUGAGUUUAGGGUUAGGGUUAGGGUCAGGAUUCGAGUUAUUGUUUGGUUUAGGUAUAGGUAGAGUUAAGGUUAGGUUUAAGUUUAGGUUUAGGGGAAGGGUUAGGUUUACGUCAGCGUUAGGUUUAGGAUUAGGGAUCGGGUUAGGGUUUGUGAAAGGGUUAGGGGUUCGUCUGAGGGUAAGUGUUAGGUUUACAGUUAAGCUGAUGUUUUAGGGUGUUAUGGUUAGGGUCAUUGUUAGGUUUAGCGUUCGGGCUAGAGUCAGGUGAUAGUUUAGGGUUAGGUUUAGGUUUAGUUUUAGGGUUAGGCUUAGGCUUAGGUUUAGGGUGAAGUUUAGGUUAAGGAUGAGGGUUAUGUUUAGGGUUAGUGUUAGGGUUAGGUGUUUGGGUUAAGGUUAGGGUCAGUUUAGGGUUCGGUUUAGAGUUCGGGUUAGCGUUAGGGUUCGGGUUAGGUGUUUGGGUUAACGUUAGGGUCAGGUUUAUGUUUGCGUUUAGGGUUAGUGUUGGGUUCGUUUUAGGGUUAGUGUUUGGGUGAAAUUUAAGUGAAGAGUGAGGGUUGAGCUUAGGGUUAGGGGUUAGGGUUAGGGUUAAGGUUCGUUUUAGGUUUAGGUUUAAGAUUAGGUUUAGGGUAAGUGUUAGGGUUAAAUCAUGGUUAGGCUAGGGCAUGGUUAAGGUUAGAGAUAGGGUGAGGUUAAGGGUUGGGGUUAGGUUUAGAUGUUAGGGUGAGGGUUAGUGCUAGGUUUCCAUUUAAGUUGAGUUUGUAGGGUAAGUUUUAGGGUUGGAUUAGGGUUAGAGUUAGAGUUAGGGUCAGGGUUAGGGUUAAGGUUCGGGUUAGGGUUAGGUUUAUGGUUAGGAUUUGGGUUACGGUCAGGGUUAGGGGGAGAUUUAGUGUUAUGUUUAGUUUCAGGGUCAGGGUUAGGGUGCAGUUUAGGUUAAGGAUGAGGGUUAGGGUUAGGUUUAGUGUUAGGGUUAGGUGUUUGGGUUAAGGUUAGGGUCAGGUUAGGGUUAGGGUUAGGGUUAGGCUUACUGUUUGUUAGGGUUAGGGUUAGGUGUUUGGGUUAAUGUUAGAGUCAGGUUUAGGGUUAGGUUUAGAGUUAGGAUUAGGAUUCGGUUUAAAGUUAGAGUUCGGGAUAGGGUGAAGUUUAAUUUAAGGGUGAGGGUUGAGCUUAGGGUUUGGGGUAGGGGUUAGGGUUCAGGUUAGGAUUAGGUUUAAGGUAAAGGUUAGGUUUAGGGUCAGGUUUAGGGUAAGUGUUAGGAUUAAGUCAUGUUUAGGUGUAGGGCUAGGAUAAGGUUAGAGAUAGGGUUAGGUUAAGGGUUGGGUUUAGGUUUAGAUGUUAGGGUGUGGGUUAGUGGUAGGUUUCCAUUUAAGCUGAGUGUGUAGGGUAAUUUUUAUGGUUAGGAUUAAGGUUAGAGUUAGGGUCAGGGUCAGGGUUAGGGUUAAGUUUAGGGUUAGUUUUAUGGUUAGGAUUGGGUUAGGUUCAUGGUUGGGGGAGAUUUAGUGUUAUGUUUAGUUUUAGGAUAGGGUUAGGGUGAAGUUGAUGUUAAGCGUGCGGGUUAGGGUUAGGGCUAGGGGUUAUUGUUCAGAUUAGUGUCAGGGGUAGGGUUAGGGAUAGGUUUAGGGUUUGUUUUAGUUUUGUUUAAGGUUAGGGUUUGAAUAAAGUUAGGGUAGGUUUAGGGUUAUGGUUAGGUCUGGGCUAAGGAUUAGGGUUAGAGUUAGGGUUAGGGGUGUUUUGGUUAGGUUUAGGGUAGGGUUUUAUUUAGGGUUAGGGUAAGAAUUAGAGUUACGUUUACACUUAAGGUGAAGGUUUUGGGUAUGUGUUACGGUUAGGGUUAGGGUUAGAGUUAGGAUUAGGGUUUAGGGUUAGGUUUAAUUUUAUGGUAGGGUUAAAGUUAAGGUUAAGGUUAGGUUGGAGUUAGGGUAGGGUUAGGAUUAGGAUUAGGUUUAGGGGGAGGUUUAGGGUCAGAGUUAUCGUAAGGGUUAGGUGUAGGGUGACUGGUGGGCCAAGGUUAAGGUUAGUGUUAGGUUUAGGGGUAGGGUUAGGGUUAAAGUUAGGGUUAGCUUUAGGUUAGGGAUAGGGUGAAGUUUAAGAUAGGGUGAGGGUUAGGGUUAUGGCUAAGGUUCGGGUUAGUUUUCGGGUUAGUGUUAAGGUUACGUUUAGGGUUAGGGUUAAGUUUAUGGGUUGUGUUUAGUUUUAGGGUUAGGGUUAGAUUUUAGGUUAGGGUUAAGUUUAGUGUAACAGUUAAGGUUACGGUUUGUGUUAGGCAUUGUGGUUGGGGUGAGGUUUAGGUUUAGGGUUAGGGUUGUGUAUGCUUAGGAUUAUGGUUAUGGUAAGGUGUUAGGGGUUAGAAGUGUAGUUUAGGGUUAGGGGUGGGUGAGGGUUCUGGUAAAGCAUUGUGGUUCUGACCAUGGUUAGGUUUGGUUUAGGGUUACGGUUAGCUUUAUGAUUAGGUUUCAGGUUAGUGUUCGAGUUAGAGUUAACGUUUGGGUUAGGCUUUGGUGUUAGGGGUUAGGGUUUGGGUUAGGGUUAGGGUUAUUGUUAGGGCUCAGGGGUUCAGGUUAGUGUUAGGGUUAGGGUUACGGAUAGCAUUAGGGUUAGGGUUGGGGAUACGGAUAGGGGUUAGGGUGAGGGUUACGGUUAGUUUUACAGUUAUGGUGAGUGUUCAGGGUAAGUGUUAUGGUUAUGGUUAGAGUUAGGGUUAGGGUUCGGGUGAAGUUUCAGUUAAUAGUGAGGGUUACGCUAAAAGUUAGGGUUAAUGUUAGAGUUAGGGUUAAGGUUAGCGUUAGUGUUAGGUUUAGGGUAGGUAAGGUUAGGGUUAAGACUAGGUUUACGGUAAAGGGUUGGGCUGGGUUAGGGUUAGGGUUAGGUUUAGAAUUAUACUUAGUGCUGAGUUUAGGGUUAGGGUUAGGGUCAGGAUUCGAGUUAUUGUUUGGUUUAGGUAUAGGUAGAGUUAAGGUUAGGUUUAAGUUUAGGUUUAGGGGAAGGGUUAGGUUUACGUCAGCGUUAGGUUUAGGAUUAGGGAUCGGGUUAGGGUUUGUGAAAGGGUUAGGGGUUCGUCUGAGGGUAAGUGUUAGGUUUACAGUUAAGCUGAUGUUUUAGGGUGUUAUGGUUAGGGUCAUUGUUAGGUUUAGCGUUCGGGCUAGAGUCAGGUGAUAGUUUAGGGUUAGGUUUAGGUUUAGUUUUAGGGUUAGGCUUAGGCUUAGGUUUAGGGUGAAGUUUAGGUUAAGGAUGAGGGUUAUGUUUAGGGUUAGUGUUAGGGUUAGGUGUUUGGGUUAAGGUUAGGGUCAGUUUAGGGUUCGGUUUAGAGUUCGGGUUAGCGUUAGGGUUCGGGUUAGGUGUUUGGGUUAACGUUAGGGUCAGGUUUAUGUUUGCGUUUAGGGUUAGUGUUGGGUUCAUUUUAGGGUUAGUGUUUGGGUGAAAUUUAAGUGAAGAGUGAGGGUUGAGCUUAGGGUUAGGGGUUAGGGUUAGGGUUAAGGUUCGUUUUAGGUUUAGGUUUAAGAUUAGGUUUAGGGUAAGUGUUAGGGUUAAAUCAUGGUUAGGCUAGGGCAUGGUUAAGGUUAGAGAUAGGGUGAGGUUAAGGGUUGGGGUUAGGUUUAGAUGUUAGGGUGAGGGUUAGUGCUAGGUUUCCAUUUAAGUUGAGUUUGUAGGGUAAGUUUUAGGGUUGGAUUAGGGUUAGAGUUAGAGUUAGGGUCAGGGUUAGGGUUAAGGUUCGGGUUAGGGUUAGGUUUAUGGUUAGGAUUUGGGUUACGGUCAGGGUUAGGGGGAGAUUUAGUGUUAUGUUUAGUUUCAGGGUCAGGGUUAGGGUGCAGUUUAGGUUAAGGAUGAGGGUUAGGGUUAGGUUUAGUGUUAGGGUUAGGUGUUUGGGUUAAGGUUAGGGUCAGGUUAGGGUUAGGGUUAGGGUUAGGCUUACUGUUUGUUAGGGUUAGGGUUAGGUGUUUGGGUUAAUGUUAGAGUCAGGUUUAGGGUUAGGUUUAGAGUUAGGAUUAGGAUUCGGUUUAAAGUUAGAGUUCGGGAUAGGGUGAAGUUUAAUUUAAGGGUGAGGGUUGAGCUUAGGGUUUGGGGUAGGGGUUAGGGUUCAGGUUAGGAUUAGGUUUAAGGUAAAGGUUAGGUUUAGGGUCAGGUUUAGGGUAAGUGUUAGGAUUAAGUCAUGUUUAGGUGUAGGGCUAGGAUAAGGUUAGAGAUAGGGUUAGGUUAAGGGUUGGGUUUAGGUUUAGAUGUUAGGGUGUGGGUUAGUGGUAGGUUUCCAUUUAAGCUGAGUGUGUAGGGUAAUUUUUAUGGUUAGGAUUAAGGUUAGAGUUAGGGUCAGGGUCAGGGUUAGGGUUAAGUUUAGGGUUAGUUUUAUGGUUAGGAUUGGGUUAGGUUCAUGGUUGGGGGAGAUUUAGUGUUAUGUUUAGUUUUAGGAUAGGGUUAGGGUGAAGUUGAUGUUAAGCGUGCGGGUUAGGGUUAGGGCUAGGGGUUAUUGUUCAGAUUAGUGUCAGGGGUAGGGUUAGGGAUAGGUUUAGGGUUUAUUUUAGUUUUGUUUAAGGUUAGGGUUUGAAUAAAGUUAGGGUAGGUUUAGGGUUAUGGUUAGGUCUGGGCUAAGGAUUAGGGUUAGAGUUAGGGUUAGGGGUGUUUUGGUUAGGUUUAGGGUAGGGUUUUAUUUAGGGUUAGGGUAAGAAUUAGAGUUACGUUUACACUUAAGGUGAAGGUUUUGGGUAUGUGUUACGGUUAGGGUUAGGGUUAGAGUUAGGAUUAGGGUUUAGGGUUAGGUUUAAUUUUAUGGUAGGGUUAAAGUUAAGGUUAAGGUUAGGUUGGAGUUAGGGUAGGGUUAGGAUUAGGAUUAGGUUUAGGGGGAGGUUUAGGGUCAGAGUUAUCGUAAGGGUUAGGUGUAGGGUGACUGGUGGGCCAAGGUUAAGGUUAGUGUUAGGUUUAGGGGUAGGGUUAGGGUUAAAGUUAGGGUUAGCUUUAGGUUAGGGAUAGGGUGAAGUUUAAGAUAGGGUGAGGGUUAGGGUUAUGGCUAAGGUUCGGGUUAGUUUUCGGGUUAGUGUUAAGGUUACGUUUAGGGUUAGGGUUAAGUUUAUGGGUUGUGUUUAGUUUUAGGGUUAGGGUUAGAUUUUAGGUUAGGGUUAAGUUUAGUGUAACAGUUAAGGUUACGGUUUGUGUUAGGCAUUGUGGUUGGGGUGAGGUUUAGGUUUAGGGUUAGGGUUGUGUAUGCUUAGGAUUAUGGUUAUGGUAAGGUGUUAGGGGUUAGAAGUGUAGUUUAGGGUUAGGGGUGGGUGAGGGUUCUGGUAAAGCAUUGUGGUUCUGACCAUGGUUAGGUUUGGUUUAGGGUUACGGUUAGCUUUAUGAUUAGGUUUCAGGUUAGUGUUCGAGUUAGAGUUAACGUUUGGGUUAGGCUUUGGUGUUAGGGGUUAGGGUUUGGGUUAGGGUUAGGGUUAUUGUUAGGGCUCAGGGGUUCAGGUUAGUGUUAGGGUUAGGGUUACGGAUAGCAUUAGGGUUAGGGUUGGGGAUACGGAUAGGGGUUAGGGUGAGGGUUACGGUUAGUUUUACAGUUAUGGUGAGUGUUCAGGGUAAGUGUUAUGGUUAUGGUUAGAGUUAGGGUUAGGGUUCGGGUGAAGUUUCAGUUAAUAGUGAGGGUUACGCUAAAAGUUAGGGUUAAUGUUAGAGUUAGGGUUAAGGUUAGCGUUAGUGUUAGGUUUAGGGUAGGUAAGGUUAGGGUUAAGACUAGGUUUACGGUAAAGGGUUGGGCUGGGUUAGGGUUAGGGUUAGGUUUAGAAUUAUACUUAGUGCUGAGUUUAGGGUUAGGGUUAGGGUCAGGAUUCGAGUUAUUGUUUGGUUUAGGUAUAGGUAGAGUUAAGGUUAGGUUUAAGUUUAGGUUUAGGGGAAGGGUUAGGUUUACGUCAGCGUUAGGUUUAGGAUUAGGGAUCGGGUUAGGGUUUGUGAAAGGGUUAGGGGUUCGUCUGAGGGUAAGUGUUAGGUUUACAGUUAAGCUGAUGUUUUAGGGUGUUAUGGUUAGGGUCAUUGUUAGGUUUAGCGUUCGGGCUAGAGUCAGGUGAUAGUUUAGGGUUAGGUUUAGGUUUAGUUUUAGGGUUAGGCUUAGGCUUAGGUUUAGGGUGAAGUUUAGGUUAAGGAUGAGGGUUAUGUUUAGGGUUAGUGUUAGGGUUAGGUGUUUGGGUUAAGGUUAGGGUCAGUUUAGGGUUCGGUUUAGAGUUCGGGUUAGCGUUAGGGUUCGGGUUAGGUGUUUGGGUUAACGUUAGGGUCAGGUUUAUGUUUGCGUUUAGGGUUAGUGUUGGGUUCGUUUUAGGGUUAGUGUUUGGGUGAAAUUUAAGUGAAGAGUGAGGGUUGAGCUUAGGGUUAGGGGUUAGGGUUAGGGUUAAGGUUCGUUUUAGGUUUAGGUUUAAGAUUAGGUUUAGGGUAAGUGUUAGGGUUAAAUCAUGGUUAGGCUAGGGCAUGGUUAAGGUUAGAGAUAGGGUGAGGUUAAGGGUUGGGGUUAGGUUUAGAUGUUAGGGUGAGGGUUAGUGCUAGGUUUCCAUUUAAGUUGAGUUUGUAGGGUAAGUUUUAGGGUUGGAUUAGGGUUAGAGUUAGAGUUAGGGUCAGGGUUAGGGUUAAGGUUCGGGUUAGGGUUAGGUUUAUGGUUAGGAUUUGGGUUACGGUCAGGGUUAGGGGGAGAUUUAGUGUUAUGUUUAGUUUCAGGGUCAGGGUUAGGGUGCAGUUUAGGUUAAGGAUGAGGGUUAGGGUUAGGUUUAGUGUUAGGGUUAGGUGUUUGGGUUAAGGUUAGGGUCAGGUUAGGGUUAGGGUUAGGGUUAGGCUUACUGUUUGUUAGGGUUAGGGUUAGGUGUUUGGGUUAGGCUUACUGUUUGUUAGGGUGAGGGUUAGGUGUUUGGGUUAAUGUUAGAGUCAGGUUUAGGGUUAGGUUUAGAGUUAGGAUUAGGAUUCGGUUUAAAGUUAGAGUUCGGGAUAGGGUGAAGUUUAAUUUAAGGGUGAGGGUUGAGCUUAGGGUUUGGGGUAGGGGUUAGGGUUCAGGUUAGGAUUAGGUUUAAGGUAAAGGUUAGGUUUAGGGUCAGGUUUAGGGUAAGUGUUAGGAUUAAGUCAUGUUUAGGUGUAGGGCUAGGAUAAGGUUAGAGAUAGGGUUAGGUUAAGGGUUGGGUUUAGGUUUAGAUGUUAGGGUGUGGGUUAGUGGUAGGUUUCCAUUUAAGCUGAGUGUGUAGGGUAAUUUUUAUGGUUAGGAUUAAGGUUAGAGUUAGGGUCAGGGUCAGGGUUAGGGUUAAGUUUAGGGUUAGUUUUAUGGUUAGGAUUGGGUUAGGUUCAUGGUUGGGGGAGAUUUAGUGUUAUGUUUAGUUUUAGGAUAGGGUUAGGGUGAAGUUGAUGUUAAGCGUGCGGGUUAGGGUUAGGGCUAGGGGUUAUUGUUCAGAUUAGUGUCAGGGGUAGGGUUAGGGAUAGGUUUAGGGUUUGUUUUAGUUUUGUUUAAGGUUAGGGUUUGAAUAAAGUUAGGGUAGGUUUAGGGUUAUGGUUAGGUCUGGGCUAAGGAUUAGGGUUAGAGUUAGGGUUAGGGGUGUUUUGGUUAGGUUUAGGGUAGGGUUUUAUUUAGGGUUAGGGUAAGAAUUAGAGUUACGUUUACACUUAAGGUGAAGGUUUUGGGUAUGUGUUACGGUUAGGGUUAGGGUUAGAGUUAGGAUUAGGGUUUAGGGUUAGGUUUAAUUUUAUGGUAGGGUUAAAGUUAAGGUUAAGGUUAGGUUGGAGUUAGGGUAGGGUUAGGAUUAGGAUUAGGUUUAGGGGGAGGUUUAGGGUCAGAGUUAUCGUAAGGGUUAGGUGUAGGGUGACUGGUGGGCCAAGGUUAAGGUUAGUGUUAGGUUUAGGGGUAGGGUUAGGGUUAAAGUUAGGGUUAGCUUUAGGUUAGGGAUAGGGUGAAGUUUAAGAUAGGGUGAGGGUUAGGGUUAUGGCUAAGGUUCGGGUUAGUUUUCGGGUUAGUGUUAAGGUUACGUUUAGGGUUAGGGUUAAGUUUAUGGGUUGUGUUUAGUUUUAGGGUUAGGGUUAGAUUUUAGGUUAGGGUUAAGUUUAGUGUAACAGUUAAGGUUACGGUUUGUGUUAGGCAUUGUGGUUGGGGUGAGGUUUAGGUUUAGGGUUAGGGUUGUGUAUGCUUAGGAUUAUGGUUAUGGUAAGGUGUUAGGGGUUAGAAGUGUAGUUUAGGGUUAGGGGUGGGUGAGGGUUCUGGUAAAGCAUUGUGGUUCUGACCAUGGUUAGGUUUGGUUUAGGGUUACGGUUAGCUUUAUGAUUAGGUUUCAGGUUAGUGUUCGAGUUAGAGUUAACGUUUGGGUUAGGCUUUGGUGUUAGGGGUUAGGGUUUGGGUUAGGGUUAGGGUUAUUGUUAGGGCUCAGGGGUUCAGGUUAGUGUUAGGGUUAGGGUUACGGAUAGCAUUAGGGUUAGGGUUGGGGAUACGGAUAGGGGUUAGGGUGAGGGUUACGGUUAGUUUUACAGUUAUGGUGAGUGUUCAGGGUAAGUGUUAUGGUUAUGGUUAGAGUUAGGGUUAGGGUUCGGGUGAAGUUUCAGUUAAUAGUGAGGGUUACGCUAAAAGUUAGGGUUAAUGUUAGAGUUAGGGUUAAGGUUAGCGUUAGUGUUAGGUUUAGGGUAGGUAAGGUUAGGGUUAAGACUAGGUUUACGGUAAAGGGUUGGGCUGGGUUAGGGUUAGGGUUAGGUUUAGAAUUAUACUUAGUGCUGAGUUUAGGGUUAGGGUUAGGGUCAGGAUUCGAGUUAUUGUUUGGUUUAGGUAUAGGUAGAGUUAAGGUUAGGUUUAAGUUUAGGUUUAGGGGAAGGGUUAGGUUUACGUCAGCGUUAGGUUUAGGAUUAGGGAUCGGGUUAGGGUUUGUGAAAGGGUUAGGGGUUCGUCUGAGGGUAAGUGUUAGGUUUACAGUUAAGCUGAUGUUUUAGGGUGUUAUGGUUAGGGUCAUUGUUAGGUUUAGCGUUCGGGCUAGAGUCAGGUGAUAGUUUAGGGUUAGGUUUAGGUUUAGUUUUAGGGUUAGGCUUAGGCUUAGGUUUAGGGUGAAGUUUAGGUUAAGGAUGAGGGUUAUGUUUAGGGUUAGUGUUAGGGUUAGGUGUUUGGGUUAAGGUUAGGGUCAGUUUAGGGUUCGGUUUAGAGUUCGGGUUAGCGUUAGGGUUCGGGUUAGGUGUUUGGGUUAACGUUAGGGUCAGGUUUAUGUUUGCGUUUAGGGUUAGUGUUGGGUUCGUUUUAGGGUUAGUGUUUGGGUGAAAUUUAAGUGAAGAGUGAGGGUUGAGCUUAGGGUUAGGGGUUAGGGUUAGGGUUAAGGUUCGUUUUAGGUUUAGGUUUAAGAUUAGGUUUAGGGUAAGUGUUAGGGUUAAAUCAUGGUUAGGCUAGGGCAUGGUUAAGGUUAGAGAUAGGGUGAGGUUAAGGGUUGGGGUUAGGUUUAGAUGUUAGGGUGAGGGUUAGUGCUAGGUUUCCAUUUAAGUUGAGUUUGUAGGGUAAGUUUUAGGGUUGGAUUAGGGUUAGAGUUAGAGUUAGGGUCAGGGUUAGGGUUAAGGUUCGGGUUAGGGUUAGGUUUAUGGUUAGGAUUUGGGUUACGGUCAGGGUUAGGGGGAGAUUUAGUGUUAUGUUUAGUUUCAGGGUCAGGGUUAGGGUGCAGUUUAGGUUAAGGAUGAGGGUUAGGGUUAGGUUUAGUGUUAGGGUUAGGUGUUUGGGUUAAGGUUAGGGUCAGGUUAGGGUUAGGGUUAGGGUUAGGCUUACUGUUUGUUAGGGUUAGGGUUAGGUGUUUGGGUUAGGCUUACUGUUUGUUAGGGUGAGGGUUAGGUGUUUGGGUUAAUGUUAGAGUCAGGUUUAGGGUUAGGUUUAGAGUUAGGAUUAGGAUUCGGUUUAAAGUUAGAGUUCGGGAUAGGGUGAAGUUUAAUUUAAGGGUGAGGGUUGAGCUUAGGGUUUGGGGUAGGGGUUAGGGUUCAGGUUAGGAUUAGGUUUAAGGUAAAGGUUAGGUUUAGGGUCAGGUUUAGGGUAAGUGUUAGGAUUAAGUCAUGUUUAGGUGUAGGGCUAGGAUAAGGUUAGAGAUAGGGUUAGGUUAAGGGUUGGGUUUAGGUUUAGAUGUUAGGGUGUGGGUUAGUGGUAGGUUUCCAUUUAAGCUGAGUGUGUAGGGUAAUUUUUAUGGUUAGGAUUAAGGUUAGAGUUAGGGUCAGGGUCAGGGUUAGGGUUAAGUUUAGGGUUAGUUUUAUGGUUAGGAUUGGGUUAGGUUCAUGGUUGGGGGAGAUUUAGUGUUAUGUUUAGUUUUAGGAUAGGGUUAGGGUGAAGUUGAUGUUAAGCGUGCGGGUUAGGGUUAGGGCUAGGGGUUAUUGUUCAGAUUAGUGUCAGGGGUAGGGUUAGGGAUAGGUUUAGGGUUUGUUUUAGUUUUGUUUAAGGUUAGGGUUUGAAUAAAGUUAGGGUAGGUUUAGGGUUAUGGUUAGGUCUGGGCUAAGGAUUAGGGUUAGAGUUAGGGUUAGGGGUGUUUUGGUUAGGUUUAGGGUAGGGUUUUAUUUAGGGUUAGGGUAAGAAUUAGAGUUACGUUUACACUUAAGGUGAAGGUUUUGGGUAUGUGUUACGGUUAGGGUUAGGGUUAGAGUUAGGAUUAGGGUUUAGGGUUAGGUUUAAUUUUAUGGUAGGGUUAAAGUUAAGGUUAAGGUUAGGUUGGAGUUAGGGUAGGGUUAGGAUUAGGAUUAGGUUUAGGGGGAGGUUUAGGGUCAGAGUUAUCGUAAGGGUUAGGUGUAGGGUGACUGGUGGGCCAAGGUUAAGGUUAGUGUUAGGUUUAGGGGUAGGGUUAGGGUUAAAGUUAGGGUUAGCUUUAGGUUAGGGAUAGGGUGAAGUUUAAGAUAGGGUGAGGGUUAGGGUUAUGGCUAAGGUUCGGGUUAGUUUUCGGGUUAGUGUUAAGGUUACGUUUAGGGUUAGGGUUAAGUUUAUGGGUUGUGUUUAGUUUUAGGGUUAGGGUUAGAUUUUAGGUUAGGGUUAAGUUUAGUGUAACAGUUAAGGUUACGGUUUGUGUUAGGCAUUGUGGUUGGGGUGAGGUUUAGGUUUAGGGUUAGGGUUGUGUAUGCUUAGGAUUAUGGUUAUGGUAAGGUGUUAGGGGUUAGAAGUGUAGUUUAGGGUUAGGGGUGGGUGAGGGUUCUGGUAAAGCAUUGUGGUUCUGACCAUGGUUAGGUUUGGUUUAGGGUUACGGUUAGCUUUAUGAUUAGGUUUCAGGUUAGUGUUCGAGUUAGAGUUAACGUUUGGGUUAGGCUUUGGUGUUAGGGGUUAGGGUUUGGGUUAGGGUUAGGGUUAUUGUUAGGGCUCAGGGGUUCAGGUUAGUGUUAGGGUUAGGGUUACGGAUAGCAUUAGGGUUAGGGUUGGGGAUACGGAUAGGGGUUAGGGUGAGGGUUACGGUUAGUUUUACAGUUAUGGUGAGUGUUCAGGGUAAGUGUUAUGGUUAUGGUUAGAGUUAGGGUUAGGGUUCGGGUGAAGUUUCAGUUAAUAGUGAGGGUUACGCUAAAAGUUAGGGUUAAUGUUAGAGUUAGGGUUAAGGUUAGCGUUAGUGUUAGGUUUAGGGUAGGUAAGGUUAGGGUUAAGACUAGGUUUACGGUAAAGGGUUGGGCUGGGUUAGGGUUAGGGUUAGGUUUAGAAUUAUACUUAGUGCUGAGUUUAGGGUUAGGGUUAGGGUCAGGAUUCGAGUUAUUGUUUGGUUUAGGUAUAGGUAGAGUUAAGGUUAGGUUUAAGUUUAGGUUUAGGGGAAGGGUUAGGUUUACGUCAGCGUUAGGUUUAGGAUUAGGGAUCGGGUUAGGGUUUGUGAAAGGGUUAGGGGUUCGUCUGAGGGUAAGUGUUAGGUUUACAGUUAAGCUGAUGUUUUAGGGUGUUAUGGUUAGGGUCAUUGUUAGGUUUAGCGUUCGGGCUAGAGUCAGGUGAUAGUUUAGCGUUAGGUUUAGGUUUAGUUUUAGGGUUAGGCUUAGGCUUAGGUUUAGGGUGAAAUUUAGGUUAAGGAUGAGGGUUAUGUUUAGGGUUAGUGUUAGGGUUAGGUGUUUGGGUUAAGGUUAGGGUCAGUUUAGGGUUCGGUUUAGAGUUCGGGUUAGCGUUAGGGUUCGGGUUAGGUGUUUGGGUUAACGUUAGGGUCAGGUUUAUGUUUGCGUUUAGGGUUAGUGUUGGGUUCGUUUUAGGGUUAGUGUUUGGGUGAAAUUUAAGUGAAGAGUGAGGGUUGAGCUUAGGGUUAGGGGUUAGGGUUAGGGUUAAGGUUCGUUUUAGGUUUAGGUUUAAGAUUAGGUUUAGGGUUAGGUUUAGGGUUAAAUCAUGGUUAGGCUAGGGCAUGGUUAAGGUUAGAGAUAGGGUGAGGUUAAGGGUUGGGUUUAGGUUUAGAUGUUAGGGUGUGGGUUAGUGGUAGGUUUCCAUUUAAGCUGAGUGUGUAGGGUAAUUUUUAUGGUUAGGAUUAAGGUUAGAGUUAGGGUCAGGGUCAGGGUUAGGGUUAAGUUUAGGGUUAGUUUUAUGGUUAGGAUUGGGUUAGGUUCAUGGUUGGGGGAGAUUUAGUGUUAUGUUUAGUUUUAGGAUAGGGUUAGGGUGAAGUUGAUGUUAAGCGUGCGGGUUAGGGUUAGGGCUAGGGGUUAUUGUUCAGAUUAGUGUCAGGGGUAGGGUUAGGGAUAGGUUUAGGGUUUGUUUUAGUUUUGUUUAAGGUUAGGGUUUGAAUAAAGUUAGGGUAGGUUUAGGGUUAUGGUUAGGUCUGGGCUAAGGAUUAGGGUUAGAGUUAGGGUUAGGGGUGUUUUGGUUAGGUUUAGGGUAGGGUUUUAUUUAGGGUUAGGGUAAGAAUUAGAGUUACGUUUACACUUAAGGUGAAGGUUUUGGGUAUGUGUUACGGUUAGGGUUAGGGUUAGAGUUAGGAUUAGGGUUUAGGGUUAGGUUUAAUUUUAUGGUAGGGUUAAAGUUAAGGUUAAGGUUAGGUUGGAGUUAGGGUAGGGUUAGGAUUAGGAUUAGGUUUAGGGGGAGGUUUAGGGUCAGAGUUAUCGUAAGGGUUAGGUGUAGGGUGACUGGUGGGCCAAGGUUAAGGUUAGUGUUAGGUUUAGGGGUAGGGUUAGGGUUAAAGUUAGGGUUAGCUUUAGGUUAGGGAUAGGGUGAAGUUUAAGAUAGGGUGAGGGUUAGGGUUAUGGCUAAGGUUCGGGUUAGUUUUCGGGUUAGUGUUAAGGUUACGUUUAGGGUUAGGGUUAAGUUUAUGGGUUGUGUUUAGUUUUAGGGUUAGGGUUAGAUUUUAGGUUAGGGUUAAGUUUAGUGUAACAGUUAAGGUUACGGUUUGUGUUAGGCAUUGUGGUUGGGGUGAGGUUUAGGUUUAGGGUUAGGGUUGUGUAUGCUUAGGAUUAUGGUUAUGGUAAGGUGUUAGGGGUUAGAAGUGUAAUUUAGGGUUAGGGGUGGGUGAGGGUUCUGGUAAAGCAUUGUGGUUCUGACCAUGGUUAGGUUUGGUUUAGGGUUACGGUUAGCUUUAUGAUUAGGUUUCAGGUUAGUGUUCGAGUUAGAGUUAACGUUUGGGUUAGGCUUUGGUGUUAGGGGUUAGGGUUUGGGUUAGGGUUAGGGUUAUUGUUAGGGCUCAGGGGUUCAGGUUAGUGUUAGGGUUAGGGUUACGGAUAGCAUUAGGGUUAGGGUUGGGGAUACGGAUAGGGGUUAGGGUGAGGGUUACGGUUAGUUUUACAGUUAUGGUGAGUGUUCAGGGUAAGUGUUAUGGUUAUGGUUAGAGUUAGGGUUAGGGUUCGGGUGAAGUUUCAGUUAAUAGUGAGGGUUACGCUAAAAGUUAGGGUUAAUGUUAGAGUUAGGGUUAAGGUUAGCGUUAGUGUUAGGUUUAGGGUAGGUAAGGUUAGGGUUAAGACUAGGUUUACGGUAAAGGGUUGGGCUGGGUUAGGGUUAGGGUUAGGUUUAGAAUUAUACUUAGUGCUGAGUUUAGGGUUAGGGUUAGGGUCAGGAUUCGAGUUAUUGUUUGGUUUAGGUAUAGGUAGAGUUAAGGUUAGGUUUAAGUUUAGGUUUAGGGGAAGGGUUAGGUUUACGUCAGCGUUAGGUUUAGGAUUAGGGAUCGGGUUAGGGUUUGUGAAAGGGUUAGGGGUUCGUCUGAGGGUAAGUGUUAGGUUUACAGUUAAGCUGAUGUUUUAGGGUGUUAUGGUUAGGGUCAUUGUUAGGUUUAGCGUUCGGGCUAGAGUCAGGUGAUAGUUUAGCGUUAGGUUUAGGUUUAGUUUUAGGGUUAGGCUUAGGCUUAGGUUUAGGGUGAAAUUUAGGUUAAGGAUGAGGGUUAUGUUUAGGGUUAGUGUUAGGGUUAGGUGUUUGGGUUAAGGUUAGGGUCAGUUUAGGGUUCGGUUUAGAGUUCGGGUUAGCGUUAGGGUUCGGGUUAGGUGUUUGGGUUAACGUUAGGGUCAGGUUUAUGUUUGCAUUUAGGGUUAGUGUUGGGUUCGUUUUAGGGUUAGUGUUUGGGUGAAAUUUAAGUGAAGAGUGAGGGUUGAGCUUAGGGUUAGGGGUUAGGGUUAGGGUUAAGGUUCGUUUUAGGUUUAGGUUUAAGAUUAGGUUUAGGGUUAGGUUUAGGGUUAAAUCAUGGUUAGGCUAGGGCAUGGUUAAGGUUAGAGAUAGGGUGAGGUUAAGGGUUGGGUUUAGGUUUAGAUGUUAGGGUGUGGGUUAGUGGUAGGUUUCCAUUUAAGCUGAGUGUGUAGGGUAAUUUUUAUGGUUAGGAUUAAGGUUAGAGUUAGGGUCAGGGUCAGGGUUAGGGUUAAGUUUAGGGUGAGUUUUAUGGUUAGGAUUGGGUUAGGUUCAUGGUUGGGGGAGAUUUAGUGUUAUGUUUAGUUUUAGGAUAGGGUUGGAGUGAAGUUGAUGUUAAGCGUGCGGGUUAGGGUUAGGGCUAGGGGUUAUUGUUCAGAUUAGUGUCAGGGAUAGGGUUAGGGAUAGGUUUAGGGUUUGUUUUAGUUUUGUUUAAGGUUAGGGUUUGAAUAAAGUUAGGGUAGGUUUAGGGUUAUGGUUAGGUCUGGGCUAAGGAUUAGGGUUAGAGUUAGGGUUAGGGGUGUUUUGGUUAGGUUUAGGGUAGGGUUUUAUUUAGGGUUAGGGUAAGAAUUAGAGUUACGUUUACACUUAAGGUGAAGGUUUUGGGUAUGUGUUACGGUUAGGGUUAGGGUUAGAGUUAGGAUUAGGGUUUAGGGUUAGGUUUAAUUUUAUGGUAGGGUUAAAGUUAAGGUUAAGGUUAGGUUGGAGUUAGGGUAGGGUUAGGAUUAGGAUUAGGUUUAGGGGGAGGUUUAGGGUCAGAGUUAUCGUAAGGGUUAGGUGUAGGGUGACUGGUGGGCCAAGGUUAAGGUUAGUGUUAGGUUUAGGGGUAGGGUUAGGGUUAAAGUUAGGGUUAGCUUUAGGUUAGGGAUAGGGUGAAGUUUAAGAUAGGGUGAGGGUUAGGGUUAUGGCUAAGGUUCGGGUUAGUUUUCGGGUUAGUGUUACGGUUACGUUUAGGGUUAGGGUUAAGUUUAUGGGUUGUGUUUAGUUUUAGGGUUAGGGUUAGAUUUUAGGUUAGGGUUAAGUUUAGUGUAACAGUUAAGGUUACGGUUUGUGUUAGGCAUUGUGGUUGGGGUGAGGUUUAGGUUUAGGGUUAGGGUUGUGUAUGCUUAGGAUUAUGGUUAUGGUAAGGUGUUAGGGGUUAGAAGUGUAGUUUAGGGUUAGGGGUGGGUGAGGGUUCUGGUAAAGCAUUGUGGUUCUGACCAUGGUUAGGUUUGGUUUAGGGUUACGGUUAGCUUUAUGAUUAGGUUUCAGGUUAGUGUUCGAGUUAGAGUUAACGUUUGGGUUAGGCUUUGGUGUUAGGGGUUAGGGUUUGGGUUAGGGUUAGGGUUAUUGUUAGGGCUCAGGGGUUCAGGUUAGUGUUAGGGUUAGGGUUACGGAUAGCAUUAGGGUUAGGGUUGGGGAUACGGUUAGGGGUUAGGGUGAGGGUUACGGUUAGUUUUACAGUUAUGGUGAGUGUUCAGGGUAAGUGUUAUGGUUAUGGUUAGAGUUAGGGUUAGGGUUCGGGUGAAGUUUCAGUUAAUAGUGAGGGUUACGCUAAAAGUUAGGGUUAAUGUUAGAGUUAGGGUUAAGGUUAGCGUUAGUGUUAGGUUUAGGGUAGGUAAGGUUAGGGUUAAGACUAGGUUUACGGUAAAGGGUUGGGCUGGGUUAGGGUUAGGGUUAGGUUUAGAAUUAUACUUAGUGCUGAGUUUAGGGUUAGGGUUAGGGUCAGGAUUCGAGUUAUUGUUUGGUUUAGGUAUAGGUAGAGUUAAGGUUAGGUUUAAGUUUAGGUUUAGGGGAAGGGUUAGGUUUACGUCAGCGUUAGGUUUAGGAUUAGGGAUCGGGUUAGGGUUUGUGAAAGGGUUAGGGGUUCGUCUGAGGGUAAGUGUUAGGUUUACAGUUAAGCUGAUGUUUUAGGGUGUUAUGGUUAGGGUCAUUGUUAGGUUUAGCGUUCGGGCUAGAGUCAGGUGAUAGUUUAGGGUUAGGUUUAGGUUUAGUUUUAGGGUUAGGCUUAGGCUUAGUUUUAGGGUGAAGUUUAGGUUAAGGAUGAGGGUUAUGUUUAGGGUUAGUGUUAGGGUUAGGUGUUUGGGUUAAGGUUAGGGUCAGUUUAGGGUUCGGUUUAGAGUUCGGGUUAGCGUUAGGGUUCGGGUUAGGUGUUUGGGUUAACGUUAGGGUCAGGUUUAUGUUUGCUUUUAGGGUUAGUGUUGGGUUCGUUUUAGGGUUAGUGUUUGGGUGAAAUUUAAGUGAAGAGUGAGGGUUGAGCUUAGGGUUAGGGGUUAGGGUUAGGGUUAAGGUUCGUUUUAGGUUUAGGUUUAAGAUUAGGUUUAGGGUUAGGUUUAGGGUUAAAUCAUGGUUAGGCUAGGGCAUGGUUAAGGUUAGAGAUAGGGUGAGGUUAAGGGUUGGGUUUAGGUUUAGAUGUUAGGGUGUGGGUUAGUGGUAGGUUUCCAUUUAAGCUGAGUGUGUAGGGUAAUUUUUAUGGUUAGGAUUAAGGUUAGAGUUAGGGUCAGGGUCAGGGUUAGGGUUAAGUUUAGGGUUAGUUUUAUGGUUAGGAUUGGGUUAGGUUCAUGGUUGGGGGAGAUUUAGUGUUAUGUUUAGUUUUAGGAUAGGGUUAGGGUGAAGUUGAUGUUAAGCGUGCGGGUUAGGGUUAGGGCUAGGGGUUAUUGUUCAGAUUAGUGUCAGGGGUAGGGUUAGGGAUAGGUUUAGGGUUUGUUUUAGUUUUGUUUAAGGUUAGGGUUUGAAUAAAGUUAGGGUAGGUUUAGGGUUAUGGUUAGGUCUGGGCUAAGGAUUAGGGUUAGAGUUAGGGUUAGGGGUGUUUUGGUUAGGUUUAGGGUAGGGUUUUAUUUAGGGUUAGGGUAAGAAUUAGAGUUACGUUUACACUUAAGGUGAAGGUUUUGGGUAUGUGUUACGGUUAGGGUUAGGGUUAGAGUUAGGAUUAGGGUUUAGGGUUAGGUUUAAUUUUAUGGUAGGGUUAAAGUUAAGGUUAAGGUUAGGUUGGAGUUAGGGUAGGGUUAGGAUUAGGAUUAGGUUUAGGGGGAGGUUUAGGGUCAGAGUUAUCGUAAGGGUUAGGUGUAGGGUGACUGGUGGGCCAAGGUUAAGGUUAGUGUUAGGUUUAGGGGUAGGGUUAGGGUUAAAGUUAGGGUUAGCUUUAGGUUAGGGAUAGGGUGAAGUUUAAGAUAGGGUGAGGGUUAGGGUUAUGGCUAAGGUUCGGGUUAGUUUUCGGGUUAGUGUUAAGGUUACGUUUAGGGUUAGGGUUAAGUUUAUGGGUUGUGUUUAGUUUUAGGGUUAGGGUUAGAUUUUAGGUUAGGGUUAAGUUUAGUGUAACAGUUAAGGUUACGGUUUGUGUUAGGCAUUGUGGUUGGGGUGAGGUUUAGGUUUAGGGUUAGAGUUGUGUAUGCUUAGGAUUAUGGUUAUGGUAAGGUGUUAGGGGUUAGAAGUGUAGUUUAGGGUUAGGGGUGGGUGAGGGUUCUGGUAAAGCAUUGUGGUUCUGACCAUGGUUAGGUUUGGUUUAGGGUUACGGUUAGCUUUAUGAUUAGGUUUCAGCUUAGUGUUCGAGUUAGAGUUAACGUUUGGGUUAGGCUUUGGUGUUAGGGGUUAGGGUUUGGGUUAGGGUUAGGGUUAUUGUUAGGGCUCAGGGGUUCAGGUUAGUGUUAGGGUUAGGGUUACGGAUAGCAUUAGGGUUAGGGUUGGGGAUACGGUUAGGGGUUAGGGUGAGGGUUACGGUUAGUUUUACAGUUAUGGUGAGUGUUCAGGGUAAGUGUUAUGGUUAUGGUUAGAGUUAGGGUUAGGGUUCGGGUGAAGUUUCAGUUAAUAGUGAGGGUUACGCUAAAAGUUAGGGUUAAUGUUAGAGUUAGGGUUAAGGUUAGCGUUAGUGUUAGGUUUAGGGUAGGUAAGGUUAGGGUUAAGACUAGGUUUACGGUAAAGGGUUGGGCUGGGUUAGGGUUAGGGUUAGGUUUAGAAUUAUACUUAGUGCUGAGUUUAGGGUUAGGGUUAGGGUCAGGAUUCGAGUUAUUGUUUGGUUUAGGUAUAGGUAGAGUUAAGGUUAGGUUUAAGUUUAGGUUUAGGGGAAGGGUUAGGUUUACGUCAGCGUUAGGUUUAGGAUUAGGGAUCGGGUUAGGGUUUGUGAAAGGGUUAGGGGUUCGUCUGAGGGUAAGUGUUAGGUUUACAGUUAAGCUGAUGUUUUAGGGUGUUAUGGUUAGGGUCAUUGUUAGGUUUAGCGUUCGGGCUAGAGUCAGGUGAUAGUUUAGGGUUAGGUU